GGGGGCUGCCAGGGGGUCGGACGUGCAGCGGGGGGCUCCCUGGGAGUCCCCCCAACCACGAUCGCUGGCGUGGGAUCGCUGGCGACUGGGUAAGUAUAGAAAGACCGGAGGGCGUACUAACUCGCCUGGCGGCGUUUAGAGCCACCUAAAAUAGGGCGUAAUAGUACGCCCUCCGAUCUUAAGGGGUUAAAGGUUUAGUUUACUCCUUGUGCUUUGUGACCUGCAACUACAAAAAACCCUUAAAAUCCCAGACAUUAUAUAUUCUGUAAAUCAGAACAACUAAAUGAAUUUAUUUUUAAUUACUUUCCUUAACUUGCACUAAUUAUGCGCACAUUUCUUUUUUGCAUAUUUCUGUAUUUUUUAUUUUUUUUAUAAUAAAUAAGCAUUUAUAUAUAUAUAUAUGUGUGUUACAUCAAAUUAAAGCCCUUUCUGUCCUUUAAAAAACGAUAUAUAAUGUGUUGGUGCAAUAAAUUAGUAAAAUGCAAAUUGCAGUUGAACGCAAACAUUAAAAAAAAUGCUGUUGUCAUUAAGUGAAAGACAAGCUUCUGAAGCUCUGUCCUUAAGGGGUUAAAAGACUGCAGGGACAGUCUCUUUAUACUAGAUACAUAUAUUAAGCAGUAAUGCUUCUGGUGCUUUGAGCAUUCCUUUCAUGAAUGUUUCCCUGUCUCUCAAUAGGCAAUGAAUGAGUUAAUCCUGCCUGCUUACUCCUUGUAACCAAUCAGCAGAGCCUUUACACCCCCGUUCUGCGAAAUGGCAGAACGUCACGCCUUUGGAAUGUUUCACUGUCAGUGUUUUGUAGGAGCUUGCUACUGCAUGUGAGGAGUCAGUGUAUUUUUCCUUGUCAGCAUGCCAGGACCAACACAUGUCAAGCUGUACACCGGAGCUCAGAUGCCCAUCCUGGGACUGGGGACAUGGAAGGUGCGUUAACCAGUCGAUAGGACACAUGCUGUCUGUGAAUGCUGUUACAUUUCCAUCUGCACUGCUGUAUUUAAUAUAUAUAUAUAUAUAUAUAUAUAUAUUUUCCUUAAUGUCAAAGGAAGAAGAACCUUUCCUAUCAAACACAUCCCCAUUAAUUACAAGAUUAAAUCUACCAUACACAUGUUGGCUAGGUGUGAUGGGAUUUUAAUUCCUGUUGUUGUCGGAAGGCGCUGUAAAGAAUUUAAUAUACUAUUUUGUUUAAUGUUGUUUUAUUGCAUUAUUGGAGGAUCCUGAUUACUAAAUUCUUAAAUGCAAUGAAAUACACUAACAUAUGAAAGUAUGUGCCCACUGCUUAGCCCUAAUUGAAGGGAAACGCGAUAAAUGACCCAUAUUGAAAUAGUGUAUGUGGUAUUCACAUGAAGUAUCUAAACCAUUACAUCACUAUGUUCAGCUAACAGCUUUGGGAAGAUAAUUGCCAGUUGGCCCAUCGGAUCAUAUUUUUUAAGAAAAAAAAGCUGAGGUUUUACUUUUCCCCUAUAUUUUCCCAAUAUUCUUAAUUCUGUUUAUAUUUCCCUAAACCAACCUCAUAUUGUACACUUUGUACAGUAGGUCCCCCCCUUAUUGGUUUUUUUUUGGGCCCCCACCCACCGCUCAUGAGUGGGGGCUGGGGGAGGAUAGUAGGUCCCCCCCACCAUUCCUAUAUAGGGCCCCCACCCACCGCUCAGGGGUGGGGGCAGGGGGGAGGACAGUAGGUCCCCCCCCUUAUUGUUUUUUAGGUGGGGUGGUGGGACAGUAGGUCCCCCCCUUAUUUUUUUAGGGCCCCCACCCACCUACUGUCUUCCCCCCUUAUUGUUUUUUUAGGCCCCCCACCUGCUGCGCAGGGGUUGGGGCCAGGGGGGGAGGAUAGUAGGUUCCCCCCCUUAUUGUUUUUAGGGCCACCGCUCAGGGGUGGGGGCCGGGCGGGGGAGGACAGUAGGUUCCCCCCGCUCUAUUCUUUUUUAGGGCCCCCAUCCACUGCUCAGGGGUGGGGGCCGGGGGGGUGGAGGACAGUAGGUCCCCCCCCUUAUUGUUUUUGAGGGCCCCCACCCACCGCUCAUGGGUGGGGGCCGGGGGGAGGACAGUAGGUUCACCCCCCACCCACAGCUCAGGGGUGGGAGCUGGAGCAGGGGGGAGGACAGUAGGUUCCCCCCCCCUUAUCGUUUUUUAGGGCCUCCACACACCGCUCAGGGGUGGGGGCCGGGGGGGGAGGACAGUAGGUCCCCCCCCUUAUUUUUUUUAGGGCCCCCACCCAUCGCUCAGGGGUGGGGGCAGUGGGGGAGGACAGUAGGUCCCCCUCCUUAUUGUUUUUUAGGGCCCCCACCCGCCGCGCAGGGGUGGGGGCCAGGGGGGGAGGACAGUAGAUUCCACCCCUCCCCCUUAUUGUUUUUUAGGGCCACUGCUCAGGGGUGGGGGAGGGAGGGGGGAACUGGGGGGCUUAUGAAGUGGCAGGGUGCACUGCUCCCUGACGCUUCUAUCUUUACAUAUUACAAGGAGGGAGCUGCGUGCCGGUAGCUCCCUCCUUGUAAUAAACUAAAUGAACACUGAUACACAGUGUGUGUUUGUUCGUCUGACAUUUCUAUUCAUUCAUUCCUCUUUCUGAUGAAUGAAUGAAUAGAUGAAAUUCCCAUUUGCAUGUCCAAGUGUUUCACUGGGCAUGUGCGGGAAUCUCAGUGCUAUCUAGUGUGGGCAGAUGACGUGUCCCACAGGGACUUCUUCUACGCACACAAAGAUGGCGGCGCCCUGAAUAUAGAUCGGGGCAGAAAAUAAAGAUGAAAAAAUAGGUAAUGUGGGGGGGCUUAGGGGCAUUUGGGGGUGACUAGGGGGUCAAUUAGAGAUAAGGGAGGGGGGUUAAAAAAACAAAACGGGAUUCGGCCAUGACAGUGCUGCUUUAAGCAGUUUCAUCAUUUCUAUUCUCUAUUUAUGUGCAUUGUCAGUUUUUAUAUAUUAGUUAUGUUUUGCCUUUGACUUCCACUCCUUCCUCUUACAGUUUCUCCCUUCCCCUUUUACCCUCCGGGUAUCAUCUAACCCUCUCUGGGUUUUUUUUUUGGGGGGUUUCUUUUUUCCGAAAGUGAGAAUUUACUCUGAAUUUAAAAUGUAAGAUCAUAAUAGCCACAUUCGAAACAUUCUCAAAGUCCUCUUCAGCUACUAUGGCCAUACAUUUUAACCCCUUUAAGACCACAGCCAAAUGUACAAGUUGUGAGCCAAAAUAAAACACAGAAUUUUACUAUAUGUCUGUUCAACAAUAAUUUUAUGGCAGGACAGGAGGCUUCAUAUUUGCUUUACCUUCUUUACUGAAACCUCCAGCAGCCAAGAAACAGUUAACAGAACUUUUCAAAACAACCAAUCAGAACAAAGCAACAGUAGUAUAAAACCCCUAAGCAGGCUCUUCCACUUCCUCUUUCUUUGCUGCCGCCUCCAGGUGAGCACUCACCAACUCAGAGUUGUCUCUGUCUCUGCUCUUGGUUGUUUUUUUUUAUCCUACAUGCUGCUUGUUUAUUUAAACAGUCUAUUUUAUCAGUCUAUUUGCUAGGUUUAAAAAUAUAAAAAAAGAGACAGCGCUAGUUAACUAAUAGGCAGCAACCUUAAAAAGGGAAACCCUCCAAACCCUUUUAAAACAAGACAGGUUAAAACAACAGGUUAUCUAUAAGUAGAUAAAAAUGUACUUACAAAUGAGGAGCAGACCAACUGCUCUUGUGUAUCAGCGUUGGAAGUCUCCUGUCCCAAGAAAUCCUGAGGUGGGGAUUUAUCCACCUACGCUGACACACAAGAGCAGUCUUUUUAAUUUGAGAGUUGGACACCACUGACGGAGAGAUACCCACGAUAUAUCCCAUAAGCGGGAAUCCUACUGUGUUAUUUCCUAUACCACUUCAUGCUAUGUAGCUGCAUUAUCAUUUGUUAACAUCUGUUGCUGUAGGCUAUUUAUCUGAUAGAUUCUGGAUACUGCUCAUUGAUUUAUUGUUAUUCUGGGUUACUUUAUGCAGUUUUACUCACUCUGCUGUAUGGGGAAUGGGUGCCCCUGCUAUGAUGCUUUGGCUCUGCCUGUACUCUGUUUCCCCUGCUGGGAUCUGUCACCCAUACACUUACUCCCUUAUUCCCCACCUGCUCCCCGCAGCCCCUGGCCGCUUGCUGAACAGCUUUUUCAACCGUGGCAGUGUCGCACGAUCACCACGCGGUAGGCUGCGCUCGGCUUUUGCGGCUGCGGCGGCCAUUAUUUCGGAGCCGCAUGGGCUCUGUGUGUUGCGAACAGCCCGGUCUCACACUCCAAACUGGCCUGCUGUGGCCACCCUCCCCUCUCCCUAUAUCAGGGGAGAUAGCCCGGUUUUUCAGCUAUCCCCCUAUUUACUGUGCCUUUCUCACUUGCUGCAUAUGUAACAGAUCCUGGAUAGCAGGAUCUGUCCCAGGCACUCUCACAGCUCACAACUGCAGCUUACUGUGAUGUCUGAUGCAAUGUGACUAUGUUUUCUAUCUUAGCAGUAGACUUGUCACACUUCUUUUACUAAUUAAAUGGGAAUCUCAGAUUUAAAGGGGCAUGUUACUGCUCAAAUAAAAAUCAUUGUUUAAAAAAAAUCAUUGUUUAACAAGACUAUGCCACAUGUGAUAUAUGCUAAUCAAGUCUUUCUCUUAAGGUUCAGUAAUUUUCUCAAAAAUUUAAAUGGCCUGUUUUUCAGCACCUAGCUCCCCUGCCUAGGAUUUGCUGCCCUUCCUGCAAGGGACUUAAAUUUUUCCACUAUACAUACACCUUCAAAAGUAUAUCCUAAUAUAAUACCUGAGUGGUCUGUAGAUGAGUCAGCUUCUAGCUGUAUGGACCUUUCUACUCCUCAGGGGGGCUAACUGGCCCCACAUACAGUCCUGUUAUUAUGGGGGGUGACCCACCCCCCUGUCCAUAUUUCUGGUGCUCUACCCUCUACUGGACUAUAAUAAUGGAUGUGUGACACCAUUGUGGGUUGGGUGACCCCCUCCCUCUGGCAACAUGGCUACCAAUGAGUACCCUGGCUGGCUCUACGGCAUCCUGUAGGAUUAAUGCUGAGGGUGACCCCCUCCUGCUUCCUACACUAAUGCUCCGGCAAUGUCCUGUUAUUAUCAUACCGAGGGGGAACCCCUCCUACAGUCUGCACUGCUGGACCUGCAGCGUCCCGGUAUUCCUAUAAAAGAGGGUACCCCUCCCACUGAUUGAGCUUCUGUUCUUACAGUGCCCUGCUAUACGCAGAUACUGAGGGUGACCCCCCUCCUGUGGACUACUCUGCUGGACCUACAGGGUCCCGUUAUAACUAUAAUGAGGGUGACCCCCUCUCGCUGACUACACUACUGGGUGUACAGACCUCUAUGAUACCACACUGAGGGUGACCCCCUCUUACGUACAACACUGCUGGAUCUGCAAUGCCUGGUUAUGGUUAUAUGAGGGUGACCCCCUCCUGCCGUCUGCACUGCGGGACCAGCAAUGUCUGGUUACUUUAUUAUAUGGCUAACCACUACUGCACCUACAGUGUCUGAUUAUGUUCAGACUGAGGGUGACCCCCUCCCCUGCUGGCCUAUACUGCAUGGUAUGCUUGUGAUUGUUGGGUGACCCCCACUUGCACGCUGGGUGACCCCCAGCUGGCCGCACCAGGUAUCACUCCGACAGUGUUACCUCUAUGGCAGUUAUGCAAUCACGACUGAAGGACAAAUCUCCCGUACCCAGAAGGUCACUUGGCCUGUCCUCAUGCAGCCCCGCUGACCUCACUGCCAGAAACCAUUGGUACCUUACAGGGGACACUCCACCGGCCAUCCUAGACGCUACACCAAGCACCCCUGGUACUCGUUGGCUAACGGAUUCAUCAAGAGGAUCAGUCUUCAUGACGGAAGUCCGGAAAGGACACCGCAAACACCUGACACAGGGUUUGCACUCUAUCCGGGACUAACCACUGGAUGUCGAUGACACGCGGACACAGAUGUUUCCUCGAGACGAAUGGCGCAUUACAGCUUGGAAAGCGGAGAAGACUAAAUUCCCAUUGGGAAUGGACCAAUAUGACUUAUAGGUAUCACCUAGUUGGUUUGAGAACCGCAAAACUGCCCCUGUCCAAGCUGGACAUCAAACUGAUGUAUUUGGCAUCCAAGUGCUGGGUCUGCUCUCCGGAGUUACCCUCACGUACAAAUUGAGCUGACACGUCUCUAUUCAUAGGGUUCCCCCUUAACUAGCCCCAGAGGUCUCUCGGACAGUGCCCGGACUCAGGAUCAAGGUUGCGGAACCUUGGACCGUUCCAUGAGCGAUACGCAUGACCAAAAGAGGCGUCCAUUUCGAAGUUGCCCUGCUGGGCGAAGGGUGCGGUGGAGUGGACUCCCGCCCCAUCCCCACGCUACAUGCUCUCAGUGCAUAUGUCGCCUGUUGACACUUCGAGACGGAGGGCACUCAUCCAUUCAGAGCUGCUCGGCGUGGACAAUUGGUUCUCUCCCUCAACUGGACAUGAGAGAAACCCGCAUGGAUUUCGCCAUCAACAUGGACAUAUUGAAUCCGACUCACUCCCAGUCAUCCCAGUUUCUGGUCUUUCAUGGAAUAUUCAGUCCAGGCGGUGCUCCGCCUCCCGAGGACCAAGAUGUCCAUCUUCAAGGAAAAUACCAGGAAUAUGCUUCGCAACCCGCGGGUCACUUAGGGACCAAACCCGGUCAAUUGACCGGUUGUUAUUCGCCAUGGAGGCCAUACCUCCAGGAUCCGGUACUAUCAGCCGCUCCAACGUGACGCUUUCUCGGGUCUUCGGCCUGGUACGACCGAAUCAUGUGACCUUCAGACGAAGCUCAUCUAAAACUUAAUUGAUGACUCUGACAUAGGGGGACCUGGCCUACCUAAGAGUUUCGGACCCCAACCAACUUCGGCUUGGACCCUGGAGUCCGGAGGAGGGACCUCUUCAUGCCAACUGCAUGGAACUACCUGCAGGUUUGUUCACCAUUCGCAGCUUCCACAGGGGAAGUAGUAUUGCUCGCUACCUUCCGCCAUGGACCUAUCACCGGUUGUCCACUACGGACUGCAGUCGGAUCUCACGUAGGAUCGCUAUCUAUAGCUUCUGGACAAGUAUUCGUCAUUUGUGACAGAAUGUCUGUGGGACGAGACACUCAUGUGGCGGACGGCUUCACCCGACCAUGGAGAGACCCCAAUGAUUGGUUGCCUCACCCUCCGGGGUCUCGAGUACUGGCAUGAUUACAUUCAGUGCGAACCGCCAUAGGGAGCGGUUCUCCAGCUGGCUGCCGGACCCUCAGCGAGGCGAGGGACGCGUUUUCCAAGCUUGGUCUCUUUCGGGGCGUAUGCAUCCCGUUUACCUACAGGAUACUUUGUGCUUUGCUUCAGACCGAAUUCCUGGAAGUGUCGUUUCACCUGGCCACACCACUUCGGAGGAGUCCUCCAUGCUUUCCCCUUUUUGCUGGAGUUUGCCAUGGGAAGGCAAUCUACGACUCACUGUCUUUUAAUGUCCCGUGUGGGAUCCACAUGGGUAGCCUGCCACGACUGGUGUCUGGAGAGAUGUUUGGGUCCCUAUAGCGGUCCUUAUCAUGGCUGUCCCCUUUGUCUGGCUGAGUUGCCCUCUCAGGGUAGGAUUGUAUGGGGCCAUUCACGUCCUAUGUCAGCUAGUGGACGACUCAUGCGUUUUCUCAAGAUUCUGGCAUUGCUAGGGAUCUCUUGGUCUACCAAGAGGAGUAUACCAUACGGCAGCCCUAUCUCUCGCUAUUCCUCAAUUCUAGUGGUAUCGUAUGUUCUGCAUUUCCUUGAGGAAUGACCUGAUGACAAGGACUUGCCUUGCGCCAGUUUUUUCCGCUUACGGUUUUCCCCAGUACAUCUUGUAUUUCAUUGCGUUCUGACGUCAUGGUAUCGACGUAGUGUCUUCUUCCUUCUUGCCGUUCAGUACAUCGGCUUCUGCUCCACACAUUUCAUUUCUAUUCAUCCCCUGUGUCGUACCCCUAUUCUCCGGAUAGGCCACGGCUCUGACAGGUUGUACACAAUGUAGAUCCAGGAUCUGGUUCUUUCGUCCGUCUACUCAUGGACAGCUGUUUUCUGCAUACAGCCGUUUUGGACUGUUUCUGCAUCUUCGCUCGCCCGUUGGAUUUGGUAGAUCCUCUCAUUGGCUGACUUUGAGUUUCACUGGGACACUUUUGGUUCGGGGUGCUGUCACCUCAACAACUUUGGAAGCCGUUGGGUCCCUUCUGCAUUUUCUCUACACCGCUGCUUGGUUUAGGGAUUCGGUUUUUCCAUUCUCCUUUUAUUUCAGUCCUCUAUCUCAUAUUGCUUCUGGUUCUACUAUUUGGGCAUUAAAAUUGCAACUAUGAAGCCUCCUGUCCUGCCAUAAAAUUAAUGAUUAUUCUAGCCUCGGUGAGGGAAUAAUCUAAAUUUUAUUAAAGACAAGAGGCGACUAUUUCCCCACCCCCAUUUUUUAUGUUCCCUCCCUGGAUUUGGGUCUUAUUCUGUUAUAAAUAAUUGGGGAUAUUGUUAUGUUUUGUGAAUGCAUGGUUUUACAUAACCUUUAUUUCUGUUAUUCAGUGAUGAUUGUCCGUGUGCGUUUUAUUCAUCAUGUUUGUGUUGUAAUUAUGUUUCGUCAAUGUCUUUUAGUUAAGGUACAUACUAGAUACUAGGUCUGAAUAAGAUCUGUAGACUUUGUUUAUUCAUCAGGUAUUAUGAUGUGCAAGUGAUAUUGUAUGGAUAUGACAUCUUGCCUUGACAGUUUACUUUCACAAUGUUUUCUUGCAGUGUAAUCUGUUUUCUCUCUGGGCUUGACGAUUGUUUCUCUGGAUGUGUCUGCUACAAGGUGGAUUCGUUGGUUUCCUUGCUCUCCUGCUCGACCUCAUCAAAGAAAGAGGAAGUGGAAGAGCCUGCUUAGGGGUUUUAUACUACUUUUGCUUUGUUCUGAUUGGUUGUUUUGAAAAGUUCUGUUAACUGUUUCUUUGCUGCUGGAGGUUUCAGUAAAGCAAAUAUUCGCCUCCUGUCUUUUAAUAAAAUUUAGAUUAUUCCCUCACCGAGGCUAGAAUAAUCCCUAAUUUACCUCUUUCAUAUUAAAUGCACCCACACUUAUUAUAUAUCAUUUUAUUCAGGGGAAACAGGGCUUUCGUUUUAACAUCAAAUAUUUAGGGAUGGAACAUAAUUUAAUAUGAAUACAAUAUAAAAAAUGAGAGAAAAUAAGAUUUUGUUUUUAAAUUUUCUUAGUUCUACGUGACAUUUGUCAAUAUACUAUUUGCUUUUACUGCAAUUAAAUACAUAUUUGUAUUCAGCGAUGUCUCAUGUGUAAAACAGUACCCCUUAUGUACAGGUUUUAUGGUUUUGGAAAGUUAGAGGGUCAAAUCUAGCAUAUUACACUUUUCAGUUUUUUCACAUUGAAAUUUGCCAGAUUGGUUACGUUGCCUUUGAGACUGUAUGGUAGCCCAGGAAUGAGAAUUACCCCCAUGAAUGGCAUACCAUUUGCAGUAGUAGACAACCCAAGGUAUUGCAAAUGGGGUAUGUCCAGUCUUUUUUAGUAGCCACUUGGUCACAAAUACUAGCCAAAGUUAAUGUUAAUAUUUGUGUGUGGAAAAAUGCAAAAAACUAAUUUGAAUGCCAAUCAAAUGAGGGGGGAUCUUGCCUGUAGUUACAUGUGUCAGUAACUCUGAUCACAGUGACAGGCUGUCUCUUACUGCGAUAAGGCUGAGCAGAUCGCGGUCACUGACUGCAGGGGGACUGCCUGGGGGGCAAGGCAUGUCCCCCAACUGCAAUCUGCUGCAGGAGAAUGCGGCCGGGUCCAUCAAAAUCGUCUGACACAUGGUAAAUACCGAUCACAGUGAAAACACUAUAGUCACCAGAACAACUACAACUUAUUGAAUUUGUUCUGGUGAAUAGAAUCAUUCCCUUCAGGCUUUUUGCUGUAAACACUGUCUUUUCAGAAAAUAUGCAGUGAUUACAUUACAGCCUAGUGAUAACUUCACUAGCCACUCCUCAGAUGGCUCUAAGAGAUCCUUCCUGGGUCAUGGCUGCCUAAAAUGCAUCCAAACAUUCAGUGUCUCCUCCCUCUGCAUGCAGACACUGAACUUUCUUCAGAGAUUCAUUGACUCAAUUCAUCUCUAUGAGGAGAUGCUGAUUGGCAAGGGGUGUGUUUGAAUCAUGCUGGCUCUAUCCCUGAUCUGCCUCCUUGUCAGUCUUAGCCAAGCCUAUGGGGAAGCAUUGUGAUUGGAUCAGGCUACCACUUCUGAUGAUGUCAGCAGACUGUUUUUUUUGUUUUUUUUGUUUUUUGAGGCAAACAGCAUGCAGAUCUACAGCUUCAGGCUUGAAUAAAGUAAGAUAUUGCUAUAUUUAUGGAGGUAUGAGGGGCCCAGGGGACUAGAUGGUGGUGUUAACACUAUAGGGUCAGGAAUACAUGUUUGUGUUUCUGACCCUAUAGUGAUACUUUAAAAAAAAAUGUCCUAAUGAUCUUGAAUAAAUCUUGACAUAGGACCGUUGAUAAUUUUAAAGUGUGUGUGUGUGUGUGUCAGGAACAGGGUCCGAUUAGCUACAGUCACGAAGCCCAACUUAUCAACUGUAGGUGGUGUUGGUGUGUGCUGAGGGUGAGAUAAGUGUAUCUUAACAUAUAUAGGUUUUAUCAUACACAUUUCUUUUUUGUUUGUUUAAAAUAAUCAUUUAUAAAACAUGUAACCUUGUCCUUUGUUCAUUUACAAAUAGGUUAUUUAUAAUUGUUACAAGCUACUUUACUGAAAUAUUCAUAUCUAUGAUUGUGUUAGGGUUAGAACAGAAAUAGAUGUACUUUGACCGUAAAAAAGACACACCUGUUCUGCGUUUCUGCCUGUACCACAUAUAAUUAAAGCUGUAACCACUACAACUAAUUGCAAUAGAAAUGGUACAAAUAUUAUUUAGGUGCUUUUCCCCUGUCUUAUGUCAAAUCAUUUAAGUUGUUUGACAAACACAGCUCUUGGUAUCCAACUCCUAGUUUCCUGCCUGCCAUUGGAUAAAUCCUAUACAUUUCUGCAUUAUUUCAAUCACAGUGGUCAAAGACCACUAUAUGCAUAAAAGGAAUCCUUGUUUGCAACUCUCUUGCAGAUUGUACCGACCACCUGUACUAAAAAUAUCUCCAAUAUCUUUAAUAGUGAAAUACUGAAAUAUUACAUGAUAAAUGCAAGUUUAAAAUACACUUGCAAAAGAUAAAAAAGCAAUCAAUCCUAUAAUGCUCCAAGGCGUCUGCCCACCACACCAAGGCUAUUCUGGCCCCUGCAGUCCACUGGUAUUCCGCACAGUAUGUCCACACCAAGGCUAUUCUGGCCCCUGCAGUCCACUGGUAUUCCGCACAGUAUGUCCACAUUAGCCUCUUGCACAGCCCCCUGUGUCUAUGCGCUUUAUGAUAUGCAUUUUAUUUCAUCAAGACCACUCUCUCCUCAGGACAACCCCCAAUUCCUUUUUUUUUUAAUUUUUUUUAAUUUUAUUUUUCUAUGUACAGGUGAUACUCAAAAAAUUAGAAUAUCAUGCAAAAAUUCAUGCAGUUCAGUAAUGCAACAUAAAAAGGAGAACUAAUAUAUGAGAUAGACGCAUUACACGCAAAGCAAGAUAGUUCAAGCCGUGAUUUGUCAUAAGUGCGAUGAUUAUGAUUUACAGCUCAUGAAAACCCCAAAUCCACAAUCUCAGUAAAUUAGAAUAUUACAUGCAAUCAAUAAAACAAGGAUUGUACAUAGAACAAUAUCGGACCUCUGAAAAGUAAAAGCAUGCAUAUGGACUCAGUACUUUGGUUUGGGCCCCUUUUUGCAGCAAUUAUUGCCUCAAUAUGGCGUGGCAUGGAAGCUAUUAGCCUUUUGCACUGCUGAGGUGUUAUGAAAGACCAGGAUGCCUCAGUAGUGUCCUUCAGCUCUUCUGCAUUGUUCGGUCUCAUGUCUCUCAUCUCUCUCUCAGGUCAGGCGAGUUUGCUGGCUAAUCAAGCACAGUAAUCCUACGGUCAUUGAACCAGGCUUUGGUGCUUUUGGCAGUGUGGGCAGGUGCCAAGUCCUGCUGGAAAAUGAAGUCAGCAUCCACAUAAAGCUCGUCUGUGGAAGGAAGCAUGAAGUGCUCCAAAAUCUCCUGGUAGAUGGCUGCGUUGACCCUGGACUUAAUGAAGCACAGUGGACCAACACCAGCAGAUGACAUGGCUCCCCAAAUCAAUACAUACUGUGGAAACUUCACACUGAACUUCAAGCAUCUUGCAGUGUGUGCCUCUCCAUUCUUCCUCCAGACUGUGGGUCCUUUGGUUUACAAAUGAGAUGCAAAAGUUGCUCUCAUCAGAAAAGAGGACUUUGGACCACUGAACAACAGACCAGGCCUGAUGCUUCUGAUGUUGUUUGUUGUUCAGGAGUGGCUUGACAAGAGGCAUACGACAUCUGAAGCCCAUGUCCAGGAUCCGUCUGUGUGUGGUGGCUCUUGAAGCACUGACUCCAGCCUCAGUCCACUCCUUGUGAAAGUCCAACACUUUUGAACAGCCUUUUCCGGACAAUCAUCUCCAGACUGCAGUCAUCCCUGCUGCUUGUACACCUUUUUCUUCCAUACUCUUCCCUUCCACUUAACUUUCUAUUAAUGUGCUUUGAUACAGCACUUUGGGAACAUCCAACUUCCUUCGCAAUUACACUUUUUUUUGAGGCCUUCCCUCAUUAUGGAGGGUGUCAAUGAUGGUUUUCUGCACAACUGUCAGGUCUUCCCCAUGAUUAUGAUUCCUACUGAACCAGACUGAGAGACCAUUUAAAGGCUCAGAAACCCUUUGCAGGUGUUACGGCUUACUUAGCUGAUUAGAGUCGGACACUGUGAGCCUAGAAUAUUGCACCUUUUCACAAUAUUCUAAUUUACUGAGAUUGUGGAUUUGGGUUUUUCAUGAGCUGUGAGCCAUAAUCAUCGCACUUAUGACAAAUCAUGGCUUGAACUAUCUUGCUUUGCAAGUCUGAGUUUUAAAAGACCACUUCUAGCAAACCUCAACAGUGCUCAGAUCACCUACAGCUGGAAGGAAAAGGCCUUAUGCAUGUCUGAGUUUCUGCAAGGUAGACUAUGGAGGACACUAUCUACCCUUAAUACUGGACACUAUAAUUGUAUAGAAUUUUAACCACUUGCAUGUUUUGAAACUAUGUAUCUCUAACCACCAUUUCUUUGUCAUUGUAUCUUUUAAUGUGUGUGUGUGUGUGUGUGUAUGUAUGUAUAUAUGUGUGUGUGUGUGUAUGCGUGUCUGCUCAUACAUACAUAUAUUGUGCAGUUUGUCUUGUCCUGCAUGCUAAAGCUAGUUGCUCCCUGUCCUGCUCAUCACUGGUUUAACUUAAAUGUUAUUCAACAUUCUGCUUAUCUCUAAAGACUUUCUCUGUUAUUUCUGCUCCCCCCACCCCCUUAUUUUAUUGAUACCCACCCGAAUGUCUUGCUUGACCAAUCCUCACCUCCUCUGUGCAUCUCCAUUCCAUAGCUUUUAUUGCAGUCCUGUUUUGACCUAUCAUCUGUCUUCCACAGUCUGAAUUUUUUAAAAGACCACUUCUAGCAAACCUAAACAGUGCUCAGAUUCCCGCCCACCCCUCCCCUCUCCACCCCACCCCAGGUUCCUUACUAUAUUUAUAGAUAAAAUCCCUCACACAACUUAAGAUUCCAAAAAGCAGCUGCCAACACUACCAGUAAUGAGCACAAUCCACCUUCUUAACCCCUAACACUCAGUCCUUCUUCUUACUUCUGCUCAUUCUCCUUUCCUCUAAUUACCUACCCAUCAGAGCAAUGCUCUAUAUUCUACUCCUCUCCUUCUCUCUCAUCUCACUCAGGAUCAAAAUAUCCCCUUCCACCCACUUCCCUCAACAACACACUCACAUUUACAUUAAUCCUUCUUUGCUACACUCCCCUCUUCUCUCAUCUCAAGCCCUGCACUCACACCUCCUGUCACUAUCUCUUCUCCUACUUCUGGCAGCUGGUGACGUCUUUCCCAACCCAGGGCCCCUCACCUCAUCUGCUCACACUAAAAUAACCAGAAACCAUGCAAACCUCCUCCAAAUACCCUGCAUUUUAUCCUCUUCUACCAAAAUUCAGUGUGCACUCUGGAACGCUCGCUCCAUUUGUAGUAAUAUCAAAUCUACAGCUAUACAUGACCUCAUCAUCUCUAACUCUAUGCUUCGGUGGUCUACAGUUCUCCCAUACUCCUAGACUUGACUGUAAAGGAGGUGGUUUCGGCAUCCUUCUCUCCCCUCAAUGUACCUUUCAACCUAUCCUCCCUGCCCCUGCCCUAUCCUUUACUUCCUUUGAAGUUCAUACUGUACACCUUAUUAUGCCCACACCUUUAAGAAUUGCCAUCAUCUAUCCCCGCCCCCCUUGGGUUUUUUCUGUUUCGUCAGGGUUUUUUUUUUUUUGCGCUCGGGAUUUUUAUUUGAUUUUAAGUUUGACGGUUAUGAUGGUUUUUUAUUUGGCCUUUUCUGGGGCUGAAAAAUGAAGAUUUGAGAAAAAAGAUGACGUUGAAUGGUAAGUUUAAUUUUACUUUACAGGUUAGUUAUUUUAUUUGGGUGGGUGACUAGGGGCGGGGAAAUUGACUUAGGGCCUCCACCCGCCGCCCAGGGGUGGCGGCCGGCGGGGGGGUGGGAGGAGGAAAGUAGGUGUCCCCCCCUCAUUAUCUUUAUAGCCCUCCCCCCCCCCGGUCACCCUAAACUAUUUAUUGAACAAUGUUCCUCCUGGUUACCCCACUUUCUUUCCUCUAGCACUCCCUCUCUCAUACUUGGGGACUUAAAGCGGCACUGUCAUGCCAAACUUACCUUUCCUCAAUCUCUUCCUCUUCUCCCCCUCUCUCAUGAUCUGUUCUUCUUUUCUUCCUGUCUUCUUUAGUUUUCUUUAAAAUCAUAAGACAAAGUAGGGACUCUUUGCCUUAUGGAGGAUUCCACCGCUUGACCAGCUCUGACCAGCGGAGGAGCAAGGUGUGCUUCAUUUCCGCUGGUCAGAGCAAUUUUCCCAUAAUUCUCACCGUUCCCACGAUGCUUCCUGUCACUUUACACAAAACUGCCGAAUUGCGUUCUAACUGAAUGAGAACAGUAUGUUUGUUUCUUUUAGAACGCAAUUUGGCACUUUUUUCGGAUCACAAUUUCAUUCGAAUGAAUGAAACUCCGAUCCUAUUCUUGCUGUGGCUGCAUCUUGCAGCCGCUUAGUAGAUAUCCCAAGAUCCCCAGCUCAAAGGAGCAGUGGCCCCCUAUGUAUCCCUUACAGCACGGAGGGGCAGAAAUCUUAGUACCUAGCCACUUUUCCUCCAAAAAGAGUGGACACAGUUGGCUUUCUGUACAAGGCACGUAUAAAUGUGGAAAAUGUGUGGCUUGUAGGUACAUGAAGAAAGAUUCUAAGCACCUUACAGAUUCAAGUGACCUAAAUGUGUGUAAUGUUAAACAAUUUUUUAACUGCAACACUAAAGGGUUGAUUUAUCUCUUGACUUGUAUAUGUGGGUAAAACCAUCCGCCCCCUGAAAAGGAGUUAUGGAACAUAUACACUCCGUUAGAAACUUUAGGGACACCCCAGUGGCGAGACAUAUAAGGAAUCAUCAUCACGGGGACUUAAUAUAUAUAUAUAUAUAUAUAUUUAUAAAUACUGUAAAUAAUUUUCUUUUCUUCAUUACUUUUUAUUUUAUUUGUGGUACAUCAGUGGUUUAUACCUUCUUGGCAGUUGACACAAUAUAAACCUAUUCUAUAUGAGUAAUUUUUCACGAUUAAUAAAAUAUAUAUGUAACUACAUUCGUUGCAUUCUCGGAUUUUUGUGCCUGGGUAUAAGAUAAGUUAAUAGGCUUGAAGAGCUUUAUUGGAUAAUCUGAAAGGGUUAACCAGCUCCUUUUUUCGACCCCAAUAUGGCAUUAGCGGUGCUAUUCACUGUAAUCAAUCAUAUCCCAGACCAUUGAGAGGCAUAGUCAUUACCAGGGUACAGUAUACCAACCGAACAGGAAUAUUAUAUGCACAUUGAUGCAAGUUCAUUAUAUGAAUGUCUGCUAAUUCCUGCAUUUGACUUUGUUUUGUAUGACCUCUAUUCCAGAGAUUAGCUCUAGACAUGGAUAUUUAUGCCAAGACGAUUUAUAUCAUAUUAAGAUGUCCAUCCUUUUUUAAUACUGAUGAGACUAUUUAUAUGCAACAACACAUACUUGUGGUUCUACACUUACCGUAUAUACUCGAGUAUAAGCCGCGUUUUUUGGCAAUUUUUUUUAUGUGCUGAAAAACCCCAACUCGGCUUAUACUAGAGUCAGUCUGUAUUGUGGCAAUUUACAUUGCCAUAAUACAGACCAGGACCGCCGGGCUCAUUACAAGCCCGGCGGUCCUGUUGGGGGCUGACAGGGAGCUCUUACUUACCUUCCUGCAGCUCCUGUCAGCUCCCUCAUCCUCCGUGCAGCUCCUCGGUCAGCUCCGUUCUGCUCACAGUGUCUCGCGAGACUUACACUGUAAACAGAACGGAGCUGACCGAGGAGCUGCACGGAGGAGGAGGGAGCUGACAGGAGCUGCAGGAAGGUAAGUAAGAACUCCCGGUCAGCCCCCCCACUGAACUGCCAAUGCCAUUGGACCACCAGGGAUUUAAUAUUUUAUUUUAGUAAUAAUAAAAUAUUAAAAUAUUUUAUUUUAAUAUUUGCAUUAUUUUUUUUUUUAAAUGUUUUUUUUGUCACCCCUCCCUGCCUGUUGCCUGGCCAGGGAGGGGGGACAAAAAUUUUUUUUAAAAAAUAAUGCAAAUAUUAAAAUAAUAUAAUAAAUAUUAUUUUAAUAUUUAUUUUAUUAUUUUAAUAUUUGCAUUAUUUUUUAAAAAAAAUGUUUUUUUGUCCCCCCCUCCCUGACCAAGCAACAAGCAGGGAGGGGGGACAGUAAUGCAAAUAUUAAAAUAAUAUUAUUAAAAUAAUAUAAUAUUAAAAUAAUACAAUUAAAAUAAAAAUGCCCUCCCCUCACGCAGUUUACACACACUGCACAAACACAUACUGCAUUAUAUACACAAACACACUGCAUUCAUUAUAUAUACACACAUAAACACACACACUGUAAAUAAAUAUUCAGUUAAUGUAAUUUUAUUGGAUCUAAUUUAAUUUAGAAAUUUACAAGUAGCUGCUGCAUUUCCCACCCUAGGCUUAUACUCGAGUCAAUAAGUUUUCCCAGUUUUUUGUGGUAAAAUUAGGGGCCUCGGCUUAUAUUCGGGUCGGCUUAUACUCGAGUAUAUACGGUAUCUACUUAUCUGCAUUAGUGAUAUGUCUUUUUGUAGCUAUAAUAAAACGGUACUCAUAUAGUUAAAAAUGCUCUCACACAUAGGAAGGUGUCAACCAAUUGUAUGACGAUACGUCAUUGGGAGGCGUGGUGAGAUCGGGUCCCGUUUUUUUGGCGCGAACUUACAACGCACUCCCCCUUUACUUAUUGGUACAGUGGAGCUAUAAAGGGGUCACUGUUGUCUGAGGACGCCUGUAUAGCCUCAGAAGAAGGCGAGUUUAGCAGCGCCGAAACACGUGUUAGGUAGCUAGGUUGGAUAGGUGAUCGUGCUCAGCCGUUGCAGCUUUAGCUAUUCAGUUAGUCAGCAAUUACUGCUUUUACGACCGGUUAGAGUUUUGUUAUACUGGGGGUUGUGGACUAGCAGGGGCAUUUUUCAUUUGUUUGGGGGAGACUUUAUUUUUGAUCUCCCCACCUCGUAGUGAGGUUUCGUUAUUGACAGCCGCAGAGGCACAACCUACAUUGUAUCAUUUCAUCUCUGACUCCGAACUUGCUGAGUAAUCUAGUAACAGACUCUUAUGUUAUUUGUGAGUGUAUAUUUCUCUCCCUGAUAUGUAGCAUUAUCUUGCUACUUUCUACCCCACAAGAUUUUCUAAGCAAUUGCUGGGGGUUUUUUGUUGGGAGGGUCAUUAGUCACUCAUCAUUAUCCUAGAUGGCAACAUUAUUACAAGUUACCAGUACUUUGUAGCAGGAUGAGCACUGUAGUGGGAUCCUUUUUCCUUUCAAGAUUAUAUUAGCUUUUCUUAAGUGGUAUUUUUAGGUUAUAUAUCCCACUCAGGAAUAACGGUCUCACCUAUCUAUACCUAUUUUAAUUAUUUUUUGUUAUCCUCAUUUUCUCAUUACCAAUAUGAGCAUUUUAUUACAGUCUGUCUCCAUCCAAGUCAAUGCGCAACUAUCACCUCUACCUCACAGGCUCGCUGCCUAGGAGUUCUUUUUGAUUCUGAUCUCUCUUACUCCCCAUGUCCAAUCGAUAACCAAAUCCUGUCGCUUCCAACUCAAGAACAUAGCGCACAUCUGCCCAUAUCUAACGCCGGACGCGGCUAAGGUACUGGUUCAUGCUGUUGUUCUCUCUCGCCUUGACUAUUGCAAUCCCCUUCUCACCGGUCUUACAUGUUCCCAGCUUGCACCGCUGCAAUCUAUAAUGAAUGCAGCUGCAAGGCUUAUUUUCCUGUCCAAAGCAGUAUAAAUCACCAAAAGUGACACAGAAUAAUAAAUAUAUACCAACUGGGUAUGUGGAAAUAUUCUGUUGUGGAAUAUAUAAAAUUAGAUGAAAUCAGGCGUAUCUCCCAAAAUAGGGAACUGUAGCAAUCUGGAGGACCUCCAGCGAUGAUCUUAUAGUAGAUUUUUUCAUUCACUCCAAGUAAAAAGAAAAUAGAUAGUGUAGAUGGUACAAAAUAUAACAAUUUAUUAUAAAUAAGUAGCACUUACAAUGUUGCAAGUUAAAACCAGCGUGUCUCCACUCCAGGUGGUGUUCACAUGCAAUAACUGAUCCAAUGGCAGCCCAGGAUAUUAGACAGCAGCAAAGAAUGGAGAGUACAAAUGAACAAUAAAAUAAAUGAAUAAAAAGUAGAAUAAAAAGUUCCAACGCGUUUCGUCUGUCUAGGGACUUCCUCAGGGAUAUGUGAUGCUGAUAGGAAGAAGAAUCGUCUUUUAUAUCCACCAUAAAUUAGUAAAUCCUUCGCCGGUGUCGGCGUGCGUUCCACUGUGGAACGCAUUCUGCUUCCGCAUGACGUCACUUCCGGUUUCACGGAUCCGAUGUAAAACCACAAUUCUUGAGCUGGCACUAUCAGUAACAGCUGAAAAAAAACAAACACUCUCCUCACUAAUAUAUUAAUUCCCCAACAGUCCAGAAAAAGAACUGGAGUUGUAUAAAGAAUUAGACAUAUAAUGUGGUACAAUAAUCAACAUAGAGAUGAAAAAUAUUAACAAUGGAGAUGUUCUUAAUAAUAUACAAUAUAAGUGUUGAGAAAUUUGUAUUCUUAUAUUCUCACAAUGUAAUUCAUAUAAAUUUAAAUUUUCAAGAUACAAUAUUAUUAACGGUAAAAUGGAGAAAACUUAUUGUUUGGAAUAAUAUAGUAAUAUAAAAGAUAUACAAUGAUAUAAAAAAAAUAAAAAACUGUCAAAUCCAUUUGUUUCUAUUAUCCAUCUCUUUACAAAAACAUCCCUUUAUAUAAAGAGUAUCAGUAACAAACAUAUUGUGUAUAUUAUUAAACUUUAUAUGUUGAGAAAAUUAUGUAAGAAAAAUUCUUUUUAUGAAGAAAAAUUUCUAGAAUAGAAAACAAAUAUUAGUAAUCAAAUAUGGACCAAUCAGAAAAAAUAAUAAUAAAUCUAAAAAUAUAAAAAUAUAUAUAAAAAAAUGAAUAAAAAUAAAUCUGAAAAUAAAAUGAAAAUAAAAAUAAAAUAAAAAAUAUAAAAAUAAAAUAAAAAAUAAAAAAAUAAAUAAAUAAAAAUGAAAAUAAAAAUAAAAAAAAAUAAAAAAAAUAUAUAAAUGAAUAAAAGUGGGCAUAAAUGUGAAAAUAAACAAAAAUAUAUUAAAUCAAUCCAGCUAGAUCUAUUUCUUGAUUUAGACCAAAUUUUAAGGUUUUUAAAUUAAAAAUCCACUGUGCUUCUUUUGUAUUUAAUAAAAUUUCUAUAUUUCCGCCUCUCCAAUGUUUAUCUAUUUUGUCUAUCCCAAUUGCUAUAAAACUAUUCCACUGGAAAAGUGGACAAUGGGCACAAUGUUUGGAUACACUGUGUUCUAGUUUUUUAUUUUUUAUAUUUUGAAAGUGUUCCAAUAAUCUGACGUGUAAUUUUCGAAUGGUACGGCCAAUAUAUUGUGCUCCACAACCACAUUGGAGUAGAUAAACCACAUGCGUGGUGGAGCAUUGGAUAAAUUUUUUAAUUUGAUAGGUCUGCUGGGUAUAAGUACCUGUAAAUAUAUUAGUACUCUUUUUUUGGAAGGUACAUGUAGAACACUUUCCACAUCGAAAAAAACCUUUCAGUAUUUGAUUAGAAAAAAUAUGUGUAUGUUGAGCAGGGAUAAUUUUUUGAGUCGGUAAAAUACUUGGAGCUAAUUUAUUCUUUAGAUUAUCUGCCUUUCUGAAAAUUAUAAUAGGUUUUUUUGGUAGAAUAUUAUUUAAAAAAGUAUCUAUCUUUCUUUAAUAUAUGCCAGUGACGAUUGAUUAUACUUUGAAUUUCUCGAGCUUGAGAAUGGUAUUUUGUUACAAAAGCAAAAUCAAACUUAUUUCCAUUUUUCUUUUUGUUUUUGUUAUCUUUUAAAAUAAGUAGUUUGCUACGAUCUAUAUUAACUAAAGAUGUUUCAGCUUCUUCAAUCAUUUUUAAAUCGUGUCCCUUCUCGAUAUAUCUUUGUUUUAUAACUUUAGAUUGAGUUUUAAAAGUAUCUACAUCUGAACAAUUACGUCUCAAACGGGUUAGUUGUCCUUUAGGGACAUUUCUUAACCAAGAAGGAUGAUGUGAGCUAGAAUGCUCUAUGGCCGUAUUACAGUCAGUACUUUUAAAGAAAGUUUUUGUUUUCAGAAUAUUAUUCUCUAUAUAAAUGGUUAAGUCCAAAAAAUCUAUUUGAUUAGUAUGACAAGUAGAGGUGAAACUUAAAUUAUAUUCAUUAUUAUUUAUAUAUAAAAUAAAAUUGUCCAAGCUUGUUUGAUCGCCUUCCCAUAUAAUGAGCACGUCAUCUAUGUAGCGUCGCCACAGAACGAGGCUCCCCCCCAGCGUCUGACCCAAAGAAAUACAUCUAGAUUCCCAAUGGGAGACAUAUAAAUUGGCGAAGCUGGGGGCGAACCUCGUCCCCAUGGCGACACCACAUAGCUGCAAAAAAUACUGAUCGUUGAACCAAGAGCUUAUAGAAUUUUAAAUGAUGGGAAUACUUAUAAAUAUUUGGACAAAGAUCCUACGGAAUCCUUGCUCAAAGAAUUAGACACUUUGUUAAAUAUUGGAUUGGAAAAUAACAUAAUCACCAAAGAUGAAUAUAAUUUUUUGUACAAUCCACACUGUAAAAUUGCUUGUUUUUAUUUUUUACCCAAGAUACACAAAUCUAUUUCACAACCACCAGGUCGCCCCAUUAUAAGUGGCAUUGAUUCACUUUCCUGUAAUCUUUCGGCUUACAUAGAUUUCUUUUUACAACCAUAUGUGACCAAGAUACCUUCAUAUAUCAAAGAUUCUAAACAUCUUCUAAAUAAUUUACAAUCAAUAAAAUGGAAAUCAAACUACAUUCUAGCUUCAGUAGAUGUAGUUUCCCUUUAUACUAAUAUCCCCCAUCAGAAAGGUUUAUGGGCAAUAGGGGAUUGGUUGCAACAACAUUCCUCUAUUGCGAAAAAAACAGAUUGAUUUUCUGAUUGAUUGUAUGUUUUUCGUUUUAUCAAAAAAAAAAUUUUGGUUCAACGAUCAGUAUUUUUUGCAGCUAUGUGGUGUCGCCAUGGGGACGAGGUUCGCCCCCAGCUUCACCAAUUUAUAUGUCUCCCAUUGGGAAUCUAGAUGUAUUUCUUUGGGUCAGACGCUGGGGGGGAGCCUCGUUCUGUGGCGACGCUACAUAGAUGACGUGCUCAUUAUAUGGGAAGGCGAUCAAACAAGCUUGGACAAUUUUAUUUUAUAUAUAAAUAAUAAUGAAUAUAAUUUAAGUUUCACCUCUACUUGUCAUACUAAUCAAAUAGAUUUUUUGGACUUAACCAUUUAUAUAGAGAAUAAUAUUCUGAAAACAAAAACUUUCUUUAAAAGUACUGACUGUAAUACGGCCAUAGAGCAUUCUAGCUCACAUCAUCCUUCUUGGUUAAGAAAUGUCCCUAAAGGACAACUAACCCGUUUGAGACGUAAUUGUUCAGAUGUAGAUACUUUUAAAACUCAAUCUAAAGUUAUAAAACAAAGAUAUAUCGAGAAGGGAUAUGAUUUAAAAAUGAUUGAAGAAGCUGAAACAUCUUUAGUUAAUAUAGAUCGUAGCAAACUACUUACUUUAAAAGAUAACAAAAACAAAAAGAAAAAUGGAAAUAAGUUUGAUUUUGCUUUUGUAACAAAAUACCAUUCUCAAGCUCGAGAAAUUCAAAGUAUAAUCAAUCGUCACUGGCAUAUAUUAAAGAAAGAUAGAUACUUUUUUAAAUAAUAUUCUACCAAAAAAACCUAUUAUAAUUUUCAGAAAGGCAGAUAAUCUAAAGAAUAAAUUAGCUCCAAGUAUUUUACCGACUCAAAAAAUUAUCCCUGCUCAACAUACACAUAUUUUUUCUAAUCAAAUACUGAAAGGUUUUUUUCGAUGUGGAAAGUGUUCUACAUGUACCUUCCAAAAAAAGAGUACUAAUAUAUUUACAGGUACUUAUACCCAGCAGACCACAAACUUCAGGGAACCACACUUGAUUCAUCUCAUUGUGUGGUACUCCCAUAAUAGCAGUUUGACUACAUCCGGUGCAGACACUCUAACUAAGGACCUUUCUGAAACACGUUAUACCAAUACAUUUUACUAGGAUAUGCAACUUGGAGCACAUAAACUCCUAGAUAUCCUUUAUUUCAUAUUUAAUGCCAUAUAACAACCCUUUAUUGUAUCUGCCUUGCUGCCUUCUAUUGUGCUACUAUAGCCUCACACACCACUGGCCAUCCCCCUACCCUGGACUCCCUGUGAUUUUUUAUAGUCUCUAUACGUUUUUCAAUAAAGUAUUUUUUAUUUUAUUUUAUCUUAUGACUUUUUUGAUCUUUUUGAUUGAUACACACCAGGGGACACUAUACCCCCAAUGUGGGCAUACCCUUAGCCGUGGGUGUUGUGGCAGAUAGACUUGUGUUUUUCUCUCCACACACCCUAAGCUUUUGGGAUUUCUUCUACUAUAAUUCUCUGUUGGGUUAGGCCCUCUCUUUUUGCCCACUAUAGUCCUCUUUUGGCUCUAGGACUGGAUUGUCUCCAGCUCUAUAGCCACUAUUUUCUUUUUCAAUUAUUCUUCUUCCUAUCAGCAUCACAUAUCCCUGAGGAAGUCCCUAGACGGACGAAACGCGUUGGAACUUUUUAUUCUACUUUUUAUUCAUUUAUUUUAUUGUUCAUUUGUACUCUCCAUUCUUUGCUGCUGUCCUAUAUCCUGGGCUGCCAUUGGAUCAGUUAUUGCAUGUGAACACCACCUGGAGUGGAGACACGCUGGUUUUAACUUGCAACAUUGUAAGUGCAACUUAUUUAUAAUAAAUUGUUAUAUUUUGUACCAUCUACACUAUCUAUUUUCUUUUUACUUGGAGUGAAUGAAAAAAUCUACUAUAAGAUCAUCGCUGGAGGUCUUCCAGAUUGCUACAGUUCCCUAUUUUGGGAGAUACGCCUGAUUUCAUCUAAUUUUAUAUAUUCCACAACAGAAUAUUUCCACAUACCCAGUUGGUAUAUAUUUAUUAUUCUGUGUCACUUUUGGUGAUUUAUACUGCUUUGUACCUUUUGGUUUUUUCUUUUUUUCACUAUUGUGUUUUUUAAGUGUUUGUAAGGGUACACUUUAAAACCUUGGGUACUUCUUUAUUAGAUAACACGUACAGUUAACUUUUUUUUUUCUUUUUUUUUUCUGUCCUUAUUUUCCUGUCCGGUCACGCCUCCACGCUCAGUCAGUCCCUGCAUUGGCUUCCAGUUAGCUAUAGGGCCCAAUUCAAAAUUCUGGCACUUGCUUACAAAUCCAUACAUAAUGCUGCUCUAACAUACCUAUCCUCCCUCAUACACAAGUAUGUCCCGUCGAGACCCCCUCCGCUCAGCUCAAGACCUACGUCUAUCCUUUGCCCGGAUCCCCACCUCUGAUGUUGACCUUCAAGACUUCUCCAGGGCUGCACCUAUUCUGUGGAACUCCCUUCCCUCCUCAAUCAGACUUUCACCCAGCCUCCACUCCUUUAAAAAAUCUUUGAAAACUCACUUCUUCAUUAAAGCGUAUCAAUUAAACUGUCAGCAGGUUUCUCAUCCCCCACCCCAUGACUCCUUUCCUGCAACUGUCAAAAAUGACCUACCAAGCACUCCAUAAACCCUUCUCUAACAAACUGUUGUUCCCCUACUUUAACCCUUUGUGUCACUAUACCCCAUUCCCUCUAGCAUGUAAGCUCAUCGAGCAGGGCCCUCAACCCCCUCUGUUCCUGUACGUCCAGUGGUCUGAUCUCAAUUAUGUGUCGGUUAGUCCACCCAUUGUACAGCGCUACGGAAUUUGUUGGCGCUUUAUAAAUAAUAAUAAUCAUAAUAAUGCGUCUGUCUCAUAUAUUUUCCCCUUUUACGUUGUAUUACUGAAAUAAAUUUACUUUUGCACGAUAUUCAAAUUUUUUGAGUAUCACCUGUAUGUUUGGAGUCCAGACCAGAUUUAUUUUCGGUUAAGCAACCUACCCCACCCUGUGCUUCAGAUGCCCAUUGAAAUACCACUGGAAAAUUUAAAAUUGAGUUGGUUUGGGAUAGUAAUGUCACUUUAAUUAUUUUUAUUUCACAAAGAGCAGAUAUAUGAUAUGAUUGUAAGUAUAUACAUCAAAGCACUAUCCCUUUUAAUUGUUUAGUUUUGAGAGUGUUUUUUUUUUCAAAAUUGUGUUUAUCACAUUAAGUAUGCAUUGCAUAUAUAUAUUCACAAUACUCUUACAACAGAUUAUUAAAAUACACUUUUAUUUCACUUAGCCUCUCCCCCGUUGGAAUUGGUGUAGGACCCACUGAUAUUUGUGUACUCUGUAGUGGUGGUGGACUUAACACAAUAUCGUAAUUUUGUGGAACGGAAUCCCCUUAUUUGCUGUGAUAGCUGAUAUUAAGUAGCUUUGUAAAAUUGGGGAAAAAAAAUGUGUGCGCGCUGCUGCUUAAUCUGUGUUUUGUAUUAAUUUUGGUCUCUACGGCAGCACAACUGCUGAAAAAUACAUGUUCCACAUGUCCCCUGUAUUCAUUUUUUUUUAUCAGGACAACUUGGAGCAGCACAGGAUUGGUUGACACAGAAUAAAACAGUAUUUCACUAUUGAAAGUUUCAAUGUGUGCUUAUUUUGUUUUAUUCAAUUGUAUAGGUUAUGUAAAGUCCAUGACAAAAAUAGAAACUGAUAGGAGCACUGGCCAUGAACUUGUACAAUAAAUGCAUUGAUUGAAUUACUUAGAUUCAUAGGAGGGAGAAAAUGGCAGAAUAGAGGUUUUAGUAUGGUUUGAGUGAACUAACCUGAAGAAGUGGACACUAAAAAUUAAGGUAAGAUAAAAGGGUUAGUGUAGUGUAGCGAGGGCCAGUAAGGUGGUGUCAUACAAAAAAGGAAUAUUGAUUUAAUAGAAUAAAAAUAUUUAUCUCUUUAUAAAUCAAUAGUAAGAUCCCCAAAUUAAUGAGGAAAUCAUUGUGAAGCUCACAUUUGCACAGAUUUUAGUUAUUAGGAAAGGCUGCAAAGUGUUGUGACAAACGCUCCUUCCCAUAUAUGUUUGCCAUGCACUCCUGGAGGAGUGUGGAAGCUGGCCUCCUGCCCACCAACUAUGAUCCAGGUCUUGGACACCAUUUGGGAGUUACCCUGCCCAGCUUCCAUUAGCAGCUUUCCCUCGGUGCACCCGGUUCGGCACUUUCCCUUCAUUUGUUACUUUCCCUUCAGUGUUCCUUAGCCGCGACCGUUAUGGAACUAAUUUCUGCGUGAGGACUUUGUGAGUUCCCAUUGACCUCAACGAAGCUUAGCCGCAAAUGUUAUGGAAUGGUUUUUGGUAUGAGGUGACAGUGUGGUUCCCAGGCAACUUGGUUUGCAGUUUUGAACCACUUUUAAAUCCUCCCGAAGAGCGCUUUUUAGAGGUAAGGUGCAUGAGACUAAGGGGAACAAAUGCUACCUAAGAUCCAGGUGCAGCACCCCGUAUUGCGGCUGCAGGAGCUCCCAAAAGUUGACCGGCAAAAGCACAAAACGCUAUAGAACUAUUUUGGGCAUAGGACCACAUGUGCGGCUGGUCAGAACUUUGACACAGUGGCGUUUCCCCUACACUGCAUGGAUCUGAGCGUUAUUUGGAGAACUCUGGUGCUCAGAUCAGGGCUAUUUAAAUGUCAUAUUUGUGGGGUUAUUUUAUGUUUUCUUUAUGUUUUGGGGUACUUUUAUUUUUUUAUAUUUUUCUGUUCCUGGGAGAUACUUAGCUUACCGGUGUUUAACACAAUUAUCUCCUAGGCCCAGAGAUUUCAGGGAGAGGCUUGUGCUGAAUGCAAUGGAGACCCCCUGCUGGUGUCUGUGCACAAAAGGCUGAGUUGGCUCAUUAAAAUAAGUUGUACUCCCAGAACUAUGAGUCAUCUAGUUAGUGUGAGGGGAAGGGCUAGUGACUGCUAAGCAUCUUGUUCCAGCUCGUGGAGGAUUCGGCAGGGAAAGUCUUUGUAAGGACUACAGCUCCCAGGACUGAAUGUCGUUCAGUCCCUGGGAGGUAAUAGCGCUUGUCCAGGACGGAGAGGCUCCAGAGGGACCACAGUCAAGCCAGGGUUACUGGGGCAGAAGAGAGCUGAGGUUUUCCCCUGUUCCAGCUAGGAAGCUGUCCUUGGCGGAGGUACUUAGCCGGGGUACAGAGAGCUCUGCUACAAGUGUAUUUAGUUUUAAAAAUAAAUAUUUUUUUUAAUUUAAUUUCGGUAGCAUGCUUUCUGGACAAUUUUUUUUAAAAAGGAUAGUGCUCAAAUAGCUUGUCCUUGAGUUAGACCCAGCUUUGUUCUUCUACAUAUUUUAGCUCCCUUGAAAGACCCUUCACCAAUUGCAUAUCAGACUAAACCCACCCAACAAUGGCAAUCCAGAUCCAAAAUGUCUACAGGUUUAUAAUGCAGGAGAACUCUAGCAACCCCAAAUAAUCCUUUUAGCUUUCAGUCGUCUUCAUCAGUGAGGUGUAACUGAAACACUGCUAGUCACAGUGAGCAAAAAAUUCAUGUCUGGAUUACCAUUAAUAGAAUAGACCGAGGAAAAUAAAUUUAUAAGAAACGUGGAAUUCUCUGCCUAAACUGAUUGUUUUAGCAGAUUCGGAGAAACACAAUAUUUAAGGAUAUACUAGUUCAUAUCUGGGAUAACAGCUGGUUGUUCUAUAUGAGAAAUAUAUGAUAUUUUGAAGUCAAUAAGUGUAUGUUAUAUUUUUUUAUUUCUUUCAGGGAAUGUGUUACAUUUUGCUGGAGGGGGCAACUACAAUUAAACAGCCCAGUUUGAGACAAAAGUUGCAAACUAUACUCCCUUUCUUAAUUUUAUAAUAACGUUUUAUACUAGUACUGUAAGAACAAUACAAUAACAAUAAAAGUAUACAGUUUUUCUAAGUUAAAGGUUUGCUCAACCCUUUGAAAUUCGAGGGCCACUAUGAAGAUUUGGAACUUGUGACUGGCCGCCAACAGACAACUCAUAUACAAUGUAAUGGCAAUAAAAGAAAUAAAAGAUUCAAUGAAUUAGAACACUAACUGCUUAUUUUUCUAAUAAUUAUAUGUUCGUAGGUAUUUCUCUGGUGGGUAAUCAGAGGUAGUGCUCCAGGUGACAGUCAUUUUUGUCCUCAAUUUUGACUUGGAGUGCUUAAUACUGGAAAACAUAUGUUCACAAAAGUACAUUCUUAAAAGUAACAGUUUUUUUUUUCUCCCUUUUUCUAUGUACUUUUUGUAAAAUUGUAGGAGAGCCAUUAGUUAGAUUGAUGUUCUCACUACUAUUUCUAAGGAUUCUUUCCUAGUUACUAUAUUCUGCAUAUUACUUGCCCCCUUCCCGUAUACCUCACCUGCUUUCUAUCUAUGUCACUUCCUCCAAUCUCCUUAUCCAUGUCAAUAACACUCUACCACCAUCACUCCUCGCUCCCCAUCUUACCUACCCCAAGUUAUUUCCAACCCCAUGUUGGUGUGCAUAGUCUUCACAAGCCCUUACUGCUCUGCUUUAGGAGAGCAAUAUCAGACUCCUGCCAGAAGAGGCACAGCCUAAUACUGCAUAUUUAAAAGAUCAUUAAAUGCAACCAAGUCACUUCAUCUUAAUGAAGUGAUCUGGGUGCACUGGGCCUUUUUUUUUUUUUUUUUGGUAGAGACUGCACUGUUUACUUUGCAGGGUUAAGCAUACCUUGCAGACAGCCAAGUGAAACAUUCAAUUAGCUCUUGUUUUGUUUGCUGCACACACGCAUUUCCCCCAGUUUUUUUAUUUUUUAUGAGUUUUGGAUUAGGUGAUUGCCGAGGAAGCAACAAAGCCGCGAUGACGUCGUGGGAAGCAGAGCAAGCAGCAACACAGAGGGAGUCUGGGCGAAGAAAAAAAGGUAAGUAAAAUGCUUUUUGAAAACCAAUUUUUAAUGUGCAUGGGGGCUAAAUCUAAUUAGGGAUCAGGGCACUAUAGCGCCAGAUAUACAAGUUUGUAUUCCUAAUGCUAUAGGGUUCCUUUUACAUUUACUGCUUAGAGUAGUAAUGCCCAACCAUGAGUAAAGUGCCUCUUCAGCAAGGUCCACAUCUGAGGUCCUAUCUGCCCUAUUUGAGGUCCUCAGAAAUUUGCCAGACUUGAUAAAGAUCUAAUGUCUCCCAUAAAAAAAACAAAUAUCUGGACCCUGUGGUUUGGCCAGCCUUUUCCCAUCUGUUCAGCACAGUUGUCUAGUCUUGUUUGUCAUCUUGCUCUGCAAUAUUUACACUUGUUUUGUACACCUGACUUCCAGCUGAUUGCAGCUUGGUUGUGUGUCUGACCUGUGAAAAUACAACUUUCCAGAACACGUACAACAAAAUUAGACUACAGCUAUUUAAUAUAAAAAUACUUUAUAAUAUGUUUUCUAAAUGUCUUGGCAUAGUGAGUUGUAAUGCCAUCUAGUAACCAAACUAUGGCCCUUCCAGUCUCAGCCAGGUAAGGUAAAGGCAGCUGUGGAAAAAGCACUUGAUGUGGGAUACAGACAUGUGGAUGGUGCCUACGUAUAUCAGAAUGAGAAGGAGGUCGGUGAGGGGAUCCAAACGAAGAUUAAGGAAGGAGUGGUGAAGAGAGAAGACCUGUUUGUUGUUAGCAAGGUAUGUGUUUAGAACCCUGCUAGACUGACCUCAACAUUGUUUUUAAAGGAUCACUAUAGUGUCAGGAAAACAAAAAUGACACUUUGUCAUCCUUGGGGGACCCUCACCCUCAGGAUCCCCCUCCUGUGGCGCAGGGCUUAAAACCCCUUCAGCAGCUUACCUUAAUCCAGUGCCGGGCUCCCUUUGUGCGCGCAUUCUAACAGUCCAUAGGAAAACAUUUCUCAGUGCUUUCCUAUGGACGUUCUGCAUGCUGGAUGCGAAUUUCGCAUCCAGAGUCGCAGAAGCGCCUCUAGCGGCUCAGGAAGACAGCCACUAGAGGUUGGAUUAACCCUAUGUAAACAUAGCAGUUUCUCUGAAACUGUUAUGUAUACAUGUGAAGGGUUAAAACCUGAGGGACCUGGCACCCAGACCACUUCAUUGAGCUGAAGUGGUCUGGGUGACUUUAGUUCCCUUGAAAUUACUUUUUUUUUUUUUUUACAUGAAUUUAAAAAAAGAAAAAUCGUCCCUUUUUGGGCUACUGGGGUGAUUUGUCUUUUGUUUUAUGUACAUUUUUAGACAUACUGCAUUUUAUACAAUCAUGAGCAGUGAAAAGUUAAAGUUGCAAACGUGUAAUAUUUUUAAAAGUAUCUUUACAGCAAUAGGUUUGGUUAUUAGAGGGUUGGGGUUAUGUUUCUUCAAUGCAUAUUUUGUAUUUUAAUUUAUUAAAACCUAAACAGAACCUCUAUAUUUAUUGGUGGGACAGUAAUUGCUUUUCUUUACCAACUUUAUUUUACAGCUCUGGUGCACUUUCCAUAAGAAGUCUCUGGUGAAGGGGGCCUGCCAAAAAACCUUGUCUGAUCUGAAUCUGGACUACCUGGAUCUUUAUCUAAUGCAUUUUCCAGGAGGAUUCAAGGUGUGUGGGCAACAGUGAUUUAAUAAACUGAACUAUACCAUGGCAGUAUUGUGCUUCAUACAGGAGCCUUGAAAGUCCAUAUGUGUUUUUCAUAACUAACUAAAACCAAAGUAACUUGAUCAAUGGAAGAGAAUGCUUAGAUCUUAUGAUCUCUGUUAUAUGUAAGAGACAAUUUCAGUGUUGCAUAUUAAAACAGAAGUGUAAAUCAUGGGAAGAUUAGAUUUUCCUUAAAUAAACACUUCUGACACCAUAACCAGCACAGCAGACCUUGUACCCCCCCACUUCCCUGCCCCCCCAUUGAAAGUCAAAUCAUUUUAGAAUUGUUUGGAGUCUUACCAGUGGUCUACUAACUGCAUUGCUGUUUAGCUCAGCUAGAACGUCUGGGUCUCGGUUGGAACUAGCAGAAAGCACGGAUGCAUACGAUUGGGCGUGAGAGGGCACUCUUGGCACCCUAACUUCUACAUCAUUCUGUAGUUGUUAUGGUGUUUGAAGUGUUCCUUUUAAGCACAGAAAAAGGAUAGUCUUGGACCUUUUAAAAUGUGCUCUUUAUUUAUUACAGGAUGGAGAUUCAUUGCUCCCUACUGAUGAUGAAGGCCUGACUAUUCAAGCAAACACCUGCUUUCUAGACACAUGGGAGGUAUCUAAGUCAGAAUGAAUGGCAAUGACACACUACCAAAACUGAAAUUCACACACGAAUCACACUGCAUUACUAUGUGAUAGGGGCACACAAGCUCCGACCACCAAUGUACGGGCUAGAUCUGAUCAUUAUAAUUUUAGCCUCUAUCUAAAAAGGCUUUUACCAGUAGUAGUCCGCAAACAAUUGUCCAUCACCUCCAGAUGAUAAUGAUAUCUGAUCUUCCCUUCUCUUAUUGUGCUGUCAGGCUAUGGAGGAACUGGUGGAUGCUGGAUUAGUAAAAGCAAUUGGCAUUUCCAACUUUAACCAUGAGCAGAUCGAGCAGCUGCUAAACAAGCCUGGAUUAAAAUACAAACCGGCAGUUAACCAGGUAAGCACGGUUUAAACAAGUACUGUGAUAGGGAAUUGUCCCAGGGAUGUUUAAAGAAAAAUUAUCAAGAUUGCAUGCUACGUUGAAAUAUUAGAUAUUGUUUCUAUUUAACUCAUUAUGUAUGCAUUCUUUUGCUGGAUCCUUUAAAUAAUGCAGACCUUUGCUAUGCAAUACUAUACUGUGGUUUCUUUUACCAUGGUAUCAUAGGCAACUGACAAGCAUGUAACUCAGAACAUUUCUUUCAAUUAAGUUAUUUUGGUGGGAAUCUAUGAACUAAUUCAUAUUGAAUACUACUCUGAAAUAGGAGAUCUUGUUUCUAGAUAACUCUUUAAAUUCAUUACAUAUUCAAGAAAGUGCAUUCUUUUGCUGGAUAUUUUUUUAUUAAUGUUUUGCCAUACUAUAUUAUGUUUUGUUUGCUUUGUUCAUUUUACCAUGGUAUCAUGGCCAACAAUUAAAUUUUGUGGGGGUGGGGGCGGCGGGUCAGUUUUGAUGGUAGGAAUUGUUAUUUAUUCUCUCUUUAAAUAUGUUUGCUCCUUUUUAAAUAUCAGAUUGAAUGCCACCCCUACUUGACUCAAAAGAAACUUACUGAUUAUUGCCAAUCCAAAGGUAUCGCUGUAACUGCGUAUAGUCCACUGGGAUCACCGGAUCGCCCAUGGUAAGACAUGUGGAAUGGAGUUUACAAGUGAUAUAUUAUACAGAUUAUCGCUGUACAUAUACUGACUGUAUAAACUCAAGAAGAGCAGUAUGCAUUAUUCUUGCAUUUCCAUAAAUAUAGGGCCAAACCAGAAGACCCAUCCGUUCUUGACGAACCCAAAAUUAAGGAAAUUGCGAACAAACACAAGAAGACAUCUGCACAGGUGUGUGAAACAUAUAUUAAUGCCUGUAGUUUACCAAUUGAAAGAAACUAAAUGUUAACAUGAAUCUGAAAACCCAAGCAUUUGAGGUAAACAUCAUGUACAGUAUAUGUAGACAACUUUCCUAAAAGUUGAUUCCUCACCAAAACUAAACUUAAAAAACACCCAUUCAUAUAUGUUUGCUGACAUCUUAUUGGGUCUAUUUUUGCGUAUUCUGCUUUCAUCUUGACUAGAUUCACGUUUGCUUUUGUUUGCAUUCCAAGGAGGGCGACUCCAUUUUGAUUUCUUUAACUGCUUAUGGACCAGAUGUUACCUUUUUGACCUGUUUGUGAUCUGGCAUUUUGCCAGUGUUUAAUGUCCAACUUGUUUAUUAUCGGCAUCGUUUUGCACAAGAAUAGCCCAAAAUACUACCAUGUAAGUCCAACGGGGCUUUCCCCCGCUAUGCAAGUUCAAUCAGAACUCUCUGGUUGGCUUAUGUUCCCACCCAGGGCCGUCUUUCCCCAUGGCCCCUGGGCAGUUGCCCGGGGUCCCCACAAGCAUGGGCGUCCCAUCGCAAUGCCCAUGUGCAUGGCCGACAGGGAGAUCCUUUGAUUUCCCCUUCCGGCGCAUGGAGAACCAGCCCUGUUUUCUUCCCGUGGGCCCUCUAGGCCGGUGGAGAGAUCAGUGAUCUCCCUCAAAGACCCUUUUGUUAGAGGAGUAGAGGAGAGAGGGCAGUAGGACCUGGAGGCAGGUGGAGGGAACUAGGAGGAAGUGCUCCACACAGUAUUCUAAGCGUGGGAAGACAGGAGCUGCAAGCUGUACAGAACUCACCACAGGUGUUCCCUCCCCCCUCCUUCAACAAGGGUAAAAAGAAGGGGGGGGGGACAUAAAGAUUUUAAUAAUUAUUAUAUAUUUUUUUAAUGAUUUAAAAACAAAACAAAGAAAAUUUGCUCCCUGUGCCCCUCACUCUCUGCAACCCACACACCCACCCACAGUACCCUCUCACACACACACACAGAGCACCCCUUAUGCACAGCACCCUCUCACACACACUACACACAACCUCACACACACAGCACCCCUUAUACAAAGCACCAUGUCUCUCACACACACAGUACCCUCUCACACACACUGCACCCCUCACACACACACACACACUACACACAGCACUCAUUACACAUAGCAACACACACACACACAAUCCCUUCACAAACACACACUGCACCUACACACAAACACAUACAUCGCACCCCUCACUGCAGUCUGGGUUUAUUCAGCAGUCUGUGUGUGUUCAGCCGCCUGUGUGUGUGUAUUCAGCAGUCUCUGUGUGUGUUUGAGUGUGUGUGUGUGUGUAUUCAGCGCAUUGUGUGUAUGUACUCAGUAGUCUGUCUGUGUAUACUCAGUAGUCGGUGUGUGCGUCCUGCAGUCUGUGUGUGUGUGUACUCUGCAGUCAGUGUUUGUAUUCAGCAGUCUGUGUGUGCGUGUAUUCAGCAGUCUGUGACUAUAUUCAACAGUCUAUGUGUGUGUAUGUAUUGCAAUUGUUGAAGGUACCAAUAAAUAUAAGCUUCAUUUUAUAGAUAAUUUACAUUUUUCUUCCUGUGAGUUGUUGUGUAGGCAGGGCCCCAGUGCACUGCUUUCCGUGUUUCGUCUGGGCUCCCUCUUCUGGAUUCGAAAUCCGGGGACAUCUGCAGGCCACAUGCCAACACUGACCCGAAACUGUGACCUACCUCUUCAGCUGCCGAUGAUGCACACGGAGAUACCCUUCAUGACCCAUCCCAGUGACCCGAUCAAGGCCCGAGGCCGACCAGAGCUUGAGCUGGAGUGAGACGGCCGCUCCCUCAGUUCUCCGGCCAAUGCAUAGCCCCCCACCACCCUUUGGAUCGGUGGGGGUUAUCCUGGUCCCCUCAGGCGACCACCUCUACAUACAGCUGCACACCGAUAUCCGCACUACCACAAGCUACAAACCGUGCGGUUUCAGCUUCCUGCUGAAACAAUGAACAGCACCGCAGCGUUCGACUGCCUCUGGACCAAGUUAACGGCCCACUUUGCGAAGCCACAGGCUCCGGCUGUAGAGAGUAAAUGGAGGGAAGAAAGGUGGGAGAAGAGCACCCCUCCCUGGGUGCUCCUAUCACCACAAUAGGGCAGCCUUCCACGAAGGGCCCGCCCGGAAUGAACACCAACAGGGAUAUACUCCCAGUGCAUCCGACGCAGAGGAACCGAUGCCGCAGGAGGCGAACGCCCACAGAGAUAAAAACGCUGUCCCCUGCAAGGUAAGAACUCUGCCUCACAUCUGAGCAACCAAGUUCGUGGUCCAAAGAUGCAGGCCUCCACGACAGCCUGGGGCUAUGGGGCGGACUUAAUCUGACUCUGCCCCUCGAUGUCACACUACCCCUAAGCCUCCCACUAAGCCGGGAAAUAGGCUCAUCCGGGACUUUACGGCCCAGAUAACUGGUGAUAACGUGCUGGUUUACCCCAUCGUUUACAGUAUGCCAACUAACAUAUAUUUUCUUCCAUGAGGCUUAAUUCACAGCGAGCACAGUUAUCCUUGAUUUGCUUAAUUUUCAUGUCCAAUUGUUAUAGCUCAUUUAGCCUAUUAUGUUGUACGCUUAUGUUUGAUAGGAAUAGCUUGCCUACAUGCACUCUUUAAGCUAGCCGCUAUGACGCGGCCUACACCAAGCACACACAUAAGAUGCACAACCGACACUCACAAAUGCCAGAUAUGACCGAAACGUCCAAUCACUAAACAUAUACCGUCAUACCCAUCUUGAGAGAACGACUUUUAUACCAUGCAGCCAUCAACUGAGGGGUGGUGCCCGAGGCUAUACAAGCCUAUAAAUCUUAAAUCUAAGCGAACACAAUACUCUCGAUACCCUUAAGUAUGUUAUUUUGAUAAACCUUAUAUGCUUAUUAUUUUACCUUUUUAUUUCUCAUAAUCCUCAGUCUAGCCAGUCAAAACGUAUUCAAGUAUAUGCCAUAAUGCCAAGCUAGACAUGUUUCUUUAACCUGUGACAAUCACCUCAUGUUCCCAAACGUACUAUGUUCAGCAGGCUUUGUUUCCAGUGACUCGCACCACAUGUUUAAAAAACAUAUUAUGUUAAGCAGAUUUUGUUUUCGUUCUCUAUACCUUAUAAAAAUGAGGCAUUUAUCUUCAUGAGAUUAUAUCAUUGUUAAUAUACCAAAGUCCGGGGGGGGGAGUUGGGUUUUAUACCACAUAGUUAACUACCAUUGUUAAUAUAACUUGCAAUUUUAAUGCGUAUUCUCACUGAUAUAACCCCAUUUCUUCUUAAUGUACUGUGCUCCUAUGUCUUCAAUAAAACAAAGAUUGAAAAAAAAAAAAAAGAAACUCACACCGUUUUAUUCUAUUCAAUUAUAUUCGUUCCCCUGUGGGGGCAUGAGGGGUGGACUGUGAUCUGUAAAUGGAAACCCUCAUCCACUGGUUAAAGCUCCCAGCAUUUUAAAGCCCUCAACUGCUGGCCACGGUGGGGGAACACUGUCAUCCCCCACCUUCCCUUUAUUAUGUAUUUAAGAGGAGAGACAGCAAUCCUAACAAGACAAAGAAUGAAAGACUGAAGAGGUGUAUUACAGGAACUUAAAGUGGCCAGGCUUAAUGUAAAACAGGAACCACAAAAUAACACGACUAAAACUAGAGAAAUACUUCAAGCCAGAACCAAAAAAUAGAAAAUAAACAAAGCUGUGUACAGGAUUAAAAAAAUAACAGCUGGUACAGGAAACAGCAGUCAUAGUCAAACAGGCCAAAGUCAGUAUUACAGACUGGAACAGGUUGAUGAACAAAGCUGGGUAUGGUACACAAACCGGGUAGUCAUACAAGCGGGUUCUUAUACACAAAUACAGGAGAUCAAGAAUUGUCAAAAAUGGGAACUCUGUAUAGGACAAAGAGCUCACCAAUUACAAAAGAUCCCAGAACAGUCAGAGAACUCUUUUUAAAUAGGAAGGUCCUGCACAUGAUUGGCUCUGUUUCCUAGCAGUAAUAAGAAAAGCUGUACCUGUUAUCCACGGGUGCCCUACAAAAUAAACAAGUGGAUGAGAAAUAACUAGUAAACUUUCUGGAAUCUUUCAAGGAGAGCAGGUUCUAUAGUGACAGAAAACAGUGUGCAGAGACAGAAAUUAGGAGAGGGGGGGGGGAACACCCCACUUAAUUGAAUUACAUUAUCCAGACUGUGGAGACAUGGAGGGUGUGCAGAGAUCUUUCCAACUAACCUUCUUUAAAUUGGAGCCUCCACACUCCACACAGGGAGUGGAAAGCACCCAUGAUGGGGUUAAUAUAAUUAAAUGUUUGUUGUAUUCUUUUUCUGACUAAACUAUUUUUGGUCAUUUUGUAAUUUUUACAAUCAUGGGGUAGUAAGCUCAGGUGCAAUGACUAUUGGUCAGUAGGCAAUCAGUGGCACCGUUCCUUCCUCCCCCGCGCUGAGGUGAGGAAUAAGCAGCAAACCUCAGAAAGUAUUUUGCAGGAACUGAAGAAGAUGGUUACUAGGACAGCAAAUAUGGUCAAGGCUUUCUGUGAUGGCCAACUUGUAGGUGUUCGCUGCUCAGCCCAUGUCUUCAUCUGGUAGUGAAGGCAGCUCUAAUUGAGGAAAGCACUGGAAGGCUGGCAAUCCUUCCUGAGUCUUGUAGGAAGACUGCUUGUCACUUCCACCAUAGUGUUCAGGACAGGUAGCUUCUGAGAAAAGAACAGGCAAAUAUUGAGCAUUACCGUCUUAAACAAGAUGUAGGGACUAGGUGGAUAUCUCAUUUUGGAGAUGCUAGAGUGCGUUCUGGAGUAGCAGAAAGCAAUUCAUACCAUGGCUUAUGGUUAUUUUAAUUGGAAUGGUUAUCCCCUUAAGCAAGGAAGAAUGGGUAGGUGUCAUGGCACAGGGUGAUGGUAUCGGCGUGACCGCGCCUGAUCAAUGCAGUCUUGCCGAUAGAACUGAGACUAUUAAGCCCCUGAUUGGGGCGGCCACACGUGAGCAUGGCGGUAAUGCCGAAAAAGGAAAUAAAAACGUACCUCAAUCUUUUAUGGUCCGUUAUACAUUGUUUGUGUUUAUAUAGUUUUGCGUGUUGAGUCACACAGUAAUCAUGACAUUAUAACAGGGACAUGGACCCUGUAGAAUUUUGUCAACACAUGUUGGCUUGCGAGAGGAGACUGGAGGAAAAUGAUCGCCGCAUAGAUCAAUUUGCCCAGGGCUACCAACCGCUCCUAGCCCGUACAGCAUCUUCAGCCAGUCAGUUCCUACCCCUCCUGUUGUGAGUAUUCCUAUUGUGUAUAAGGUUCCUUGGAUAUCCUUAUCACUUCCUCCUCAUUUAGGAGUCUCGAGGAUUUCUUAAUUAAAUAGAAUAUCACUUUGAGGCGUCUCCUGGAUCAUUCCCUUCUGAUAGAUCCAAAAUAGAUUAUCUAAUGAACCAAUUGACAGAUAAGGCCUUAACAUUGGUCAAUCCUCUAUGGCAGAGCAAUAAAUCUAUAGCGUAUGACUAUAAAGAAUUCCUUACUGAGUUUAAACUGACAUUUGAGCCAUUGGGUAAAGAGAAAACCGCUGUCAAAGCAUUAAUGCCUAUAAAACAAGGUAAUAGGUCUGUUGCAGAGUACACCAUUGAAUUUUGUACCCUUGCUUCAGAGGUCGACUGAAUUAACAGCGGUGUAAUCGAUACCUUUUCCGAAGUUCUGUCUGCAGUAAUAAUGGCAACAAUAACAAAGUAGUUAACCAGGAAAGAUACAUUCAGAUUACUCUGGUUUUCAAGUACUUGAUGAGACUGCUGCUAAAGAAUUACCAGAAAAACUUAAUCAGUACAUGAUGCAUAUUGAUAACCGUCUAAGAGAUAGACAGAACCAGAAAUAGAACUAGACAUUCCAACUUGUCUAUUGCUCCCUGUUUCUCUACCCCUGUUUUACCUGCUCCAUCUCCCCCUCCUGAACCUGAACCCAUGCAAUUAGGUGUGAUGAAAUUAUCCGAGGCUGAAAAACUAUAUAGGAGAAAGAAAGGACUCUGUUUAUAUUGUUGAACCGUCCGGAGACCGGCCUUAGGUGUGCUGUAUAUGUCCUCUGGUAUGCCUCACAAUAGGUUUAUGCUUUCUCUUUUUCCCCAAAGCAAUAAUGCAAAUUUCUCGUGUGAUGCUUUGGUUGAUUGUGGUGCAGCUGAAAACUUUAUAGACCAACUGUUUGUUACCAACAACGUAGUGCCACUCAAAGAAAGAACCACACCUUUGGCCAUUAAGGCCAUAGAUGGUAGACCACUGUCCAAACCUCUGAUCACACAGGAAACCUUACCUCUCACCUUAACAGUAGGGCUUUACACAAGGAACUUGUCUCCUUCUUGUCCCAUAAUACUUGGUUUUUCAUGGCUUUUCAAGCACAAUUCUCGUAUUAAUUGUGUUAAGGGUGAGAUUCUAGAAUGGAGUGGUGAAUGCAGACUUAAGUGUAUUCAACCAGUUUAUAAGAGCUUGGGCGUGGUUAAUGUACCUACUACUGCUCCUCUUUCUACUGAGCUUCCUGUCACCUAUUUGGAGGUUAAAGAAGUGUUUACAUACUGAUGUUUUACCUCUUCACAGGUCUUACGAUUGAUUUGCUUCCUGGUACUAUACCCCCUAAGGGUGGUGUAUAUACCUUAUCCCCUCAAAAAAGCAAAAUCAUGGAGGAUACAUAAGAGUCCUUGUUUAACUGUCACAUAGGUAGAUCUUCUUCUCCAGCCGAUGCUGGUUUCUUCUUUGUAUCUCAAAAAGGAGAUCUACGUCUCCGAUUCAACUAUAGGGCAUUAAAUAAGAUCACUGUAAAAAAAUGCCUAUCCUAUACCGCUCAUUUCAGAAUUAUUUGACAGACUCCUAGGUGCCAAAGUUUUUACCAGACUCGACCUUAGAAGUGCGGAUAAAGGUGGGACAUGAGUGAAAAAUGGCUUUCAAGACUAGAAAUGGACAUUACGAGUAGUUAGUCAUGCCUUUUGGCUUAUGUAAUGCCCCAGCCGUGUUUCAGGAUCUUAUAAAUUAUGUGCUUGGAGAAUUUAUUAAUUUGUAUUGAUGUAUCUUGACGAUAUACUCAUGUAUUCUUCAGAUCUCUCUACUCACCACAGGCAUGUAAAACAAGUUUUAUAAAGUCUACUAAAAAUGGGUUAUACUGUAAACUUGAACAGUGCCUAUUUGAUCAGAGAUUCAGUUCCUAAGUUAUGUGAUUUCUGGUUUGCAAAUGGAUCCACAAAAAGUUGAGGCAGUUCUGCAUUGACCACUACCCCGUGGACUGAAAGCUAUUCAGCGUUUUCUAGGCUUUGCCAAUUAUUAUUGUAAGUUCGUAAAGGGGUUCUCUACCGUUAUAGCCCCCAUUACUAAACUAACUCGUAAGGGUGUAAACUGUCACAUAUUGUCACAGAAAGCUAACAAAGCAUUUGAUAAUCGCAGACUUUUUUUGCUUCUGCUCCCAUACUGGUGCACCUGGAUACCAGCACACCUUUUAUAGUAGAGGUAGAUGCAUCAGAAAUUGGGGUAGGUGCUCUUCUAUCUCAGAGGGAAAGACAGGACACCCCUUUACACCUGGGUUUUUCUCCAGAAAGCUGUCGCCGGCAGAAAGAAACUGUGAUGUAGGCAACAGAAAACUGUUAGCCAUUAUCCUGGCAUUAAAAGAAUGGUGAAAUCUUUUGUAGGGUUCUAAAGAUUCACUUUUGAUCAUCACUGAUCACAAGAAUCUGGCUUACAUAGCUGAAGCCAAGAGACUGUCUUGCUGUUCUUGUCACGUUUCAAUUUUGCGAUUACAUACAGACCAGGCAUAAGAAACGUCAAAGCCGCUGCCCUAUCUAGGCAAUAUGAUUCCGAGUAAAAACAGGAGCAAGAGAUUUAUCCUAUCAUACCUCCUCAAUGCAUUAUUGCCUCUACUGUUCUUACGUUGUCCUCACCUCUUCUUAGUACCAUUAUGACAGCUCAGACACAGACUCCCAGCGACAAACCUCAGAGUAAAUUGUACAUACCACUUAAGGAGAGAAAAAUAUUGGGGGUAUUUCAUGACAAUGUAACAGCAGGACAUCCCAAUAUCAGGAAAAUAUCUGCUGUCACCAGAAUGUUUUGGUGGCCUUCUCGUAAAAAGGAUAUAAGAGUAUGUUACAGCAUGCACGGUUUGUGCUGUUUCCAAAGUUCCACAUAUACAGCAAUGUGGUUUGCUACAACCACUUCCUAUAUCUCACAUUCCAUGGUCCCAUCUAGCUUUGGACUUUAUUGUCGAACUUCCAGUCUCUAAAUGUUUUAGCACCAUACUAAUGGUCAUUGACUGGUUCUGUAAGAUGGCGCAUUUCAUUCCACUUAAGAAGCUGCCUACCGCCCAAGAACUCGUACACAUAUUCAUAAAGGAGAUAUUUGGGUUACAUGGUAUUCCACUGAAUAUUGUGUCUGACAGGGGUUCUUACUUUGUAUCUAGGUUUUGGAGAUCUUUCAGCAAACAAUUGGGUAUGAAUUAUCAUUAUCCUCAUCCUAUCAUCCACAGACUAAUGGAGCAGCUGAAAGAGCUAACCAGUCCUUGGAACAAUACUUACGUUGUUUCAUUUAUAGCACGCAAGAGAACUAGUCUGAUUUGUUACCAUGGGCUGAGUUUGCUAGGAACAUUACCACUCAUGGAUUCAUCAGGUCUAAGUCCAUUCUUUGUUACUAACGGUUGGCAUCCUACUGUCUUGCCUACUCCAUUUUCUGAUACUGCCAUUCCUUAUUUACAUGUUCAUUUGAAUCUCAUACGUGACACUUGAACUCAGGUUCAUGAUGCUUUAAACGUUGCUGCUUGUUUUAAAUGUCAGGCUGACAAGCGGCAUGGUGCCACGCCUGUGUACCAGGUUGGUGACAAAAUUUGGCUUUCUUCACGACAUAUAAGGUUGAUGGUACCCUCUAUGAAGUUUGCACCCAGAUACAUAGUUUGCCCGACUCACUCCACCUUCUACUUUCAUCAUUUUCCAUUUCUCUCUUUCUCGCUUGGGCACUGUUUUGCACAUUGAAAGUUCACUCCACAUGCCAAGGACUGGAGUGCAAAUGAUUUGGCCCUGAGCCAUAAACUAGUUGGUGGUUGUCAACUGCUCACUCACUUCACCUUUCUCGCUCUUUCUCUUUUUUUUUUUUCUUGGGUUGCUUGUGGUAGUAAUAUAAAUGUAAAAUAAAAUCCAAUUUUAUUUUCCCCUAUACUUUAAACAAUUGUUAAAAGUAGUAGUUUGUUUCUCCCCUCUGUCUGUACAUGUGAUGGGACAACAACUGCUGAAAUUCAAGAAGCUGCUUUCAUCUAGAAAGCUAAGUCUCUAAUGACACACACACACACACACACACUGACGCUCUGUAAAAUUAUUUAUUUAUUCGUAAAAUACUGCUUUCAAGAACAUUUAUUAUUUAAUAAUGAUGUUACUAAUUAUGAGUUAAUUUAUCUAUAUCUAGUAAAAAAUAUUAUUGUAUACAAAAUAGCUAUAAGAUCAAAAUUUAGAAAUGGGUGUGAUUCAUAUGAUGGCGAGUAUUAGGAGCCGGCAUAUUUUUUUGUUGACUAGGGCAUCAAAUCCUUGCUCCAAUCCUAGAUGUAUGCCCUAGGUUUGUAACGUUUCCAAUUUCAUUAAUUCCUUAUAGAGAACAAUGGGUGUUUGAAUUUUGGAAAUUAAUGAAACUUUCUGACGAAAUUUUCGUUUUAGCUGAAAUUAGAAAAUAAACUUUUCCCCAUGCACAUGCCUAGCACACUCACAAUUAUAUUAGUGUAGGGCUCAUAAUUUCCACUAGCCACUAGUGAGUUAAAAUUCAACCUAUAAUGCUCUAACUGGCAAGUAACUUUUUAUGCCUGGCUAGUAGCAAAGGACUUCAGCUUUUAAGCAUCCUAUUAGUGGACAUUUUGUUAAUAGGCAUAUGUUAUAUUGCUAGAAUACAAACAAAGAUAAAGGUUGCGCCAAUAUAGACCAGUAAAAUAUAAUAUAAAAUGUAAUAGGAUGGGUUUAAGGUAUAAAAGUCUUAGCUGAACAGAUCUUCUUUAGAUCAGAUAGUCUUUAAAGUGCUUGUUCAGGAACAAUGUUCUCUUUGUCCUUCACCAAGGGGAUCCGGUAUUCUGAAAAGAUAAAACAGAUAAAAAAACAAAUAGCAUAUGUCCAAUAUGGUACAACUGAUAAUAAAAGAUGGUAAUGCACUCACAUGUAUUAGAGCUAAAGCUAGCUCUAGUAUAAAAAGCACACAGCGGUAUAAUCCCCGCUUAUGGGAUAUGGUGCAGGCCUCUUCUCACAAAGGUAUGUUCAACACUCAUAAAAAACAGAGAGAGACGACCAAUAGUGCUCACUGGGUAAAACAAUACAAAUAAAAUACAUAAAAAGGUACUCACAAGAGUGGAGCAGACAGACUGCUCCUUGACAACAGCGUUGGUGGUAUAAUCCCCACCUCAGAAGUACUUGGAGUCCAGAAUGAUAAAAUGCCAGGUAAAAAUUAUAAAAAAAUAUAUAAAGUGUAUUAAAAGAUAAUUGGCACAAUAAAAGGUGACCAAAAUGUUUUAAUAGAAUAAAAUACACAGUAUAAAUAUCCACAAACGCGUUUCGCCAACAGCACGCAAGCGCCUCUAGUGGCUGUCAAUGAGACAGCCACUAGAGGAUUAGGGGGAAGGCUUAACCCAUUCAUAAACAUAGCAGUUUCUCUGAAACUGCUAUGUUUAUGAAAAAAUGGGUUAACCCUAGCUGGACCAGCACCCACACCACUUCAUUAAGCUGAAGUGGUCUGGGUGCCUAGAGUGGUCCUUUAAAUUAGAAGAAAUUAAAUAAAUCAAAGUCAGCAUUUAAACCAUGGGGUAUAAGGGUCUGAAGCUUAUACACCCAUUCCAUUUCAGUUUUCCCAAGAAUGUUUUUUAUAUCACCUCCUCUCCAGGGGGUAAUUCAUUUUUUUUAUUCCCAUACAUUUUAACAUUCUAGGAUCUUUGUUGUGUUGAAUAAAAUGUUUGGAUACUGAAUGGUUCAGAUAUCCAUUUUUAAUGUUUCUGCGAUGUUCACUUAGUCUUGUUAGUAAGCACCUUGUGGUCAUUCCAACAUACUGGAGGCCACAAGGGCAUUCGAGCAGAUAAAUAACCUUUUUCAUACUACAAUUUAUAAAAUCAUUAACUUUAUAAACCUUUUUUGUCACAUUAGAAGUGAAUGUAGUUAUUUUGAUGGUACUGUAGAAUCAGUGGUUUUGCAGACUAUACAAGAUUUACAUUUACAAAAACCCUUAAUUUGGGGAAACAGGGAUAAAGAUGGUUUCUUUUUAGUUUCUCUAGUAAAGUUCUUUGUUAAAAUUAAAAACAUAGAAACAUAGAAUGUGACGGCAGAUAAGAACCAUUCGGCCCAUCUAGUCUGCCCAAUUUUCUAAAUACUUUCAUUAGUCCCUGGACUUAUCUUAUAGUUAGGAUAGCCUUAUGCCUAUCCCACGCAUGCUUAAACUCCUUUACUGUGUUAACCUCUACCACUUCAGCUGGAAGGCUAUUCCAUGCAUCCACUACCCUCUCAGUAAAGUAAUACUUCCUGAUAUUCAUUUUAAACCUUUGUCCCUCUAAUUUAAGACUGUCCUAUUGUUGUGGUAGUUUUUCUUCUUUUAAAUAUAGUCUCCUCCUUUACUGUGUUGAUUCCCUUUAUAUAUUUAAAUAUUUCUAUCAUAUCCCCCCUGUCUCGUCUUUCCUCCAAGCUAUACAUGUUAAGAUCCUCUAACCUUUCCUGGUAAGUUUUAUCCCGCAAUCCAUGAACCAGUUUAGUAGCCCUUCUCUGAACUCUCUCUAAGGUAUCAAUAUCCUUCUGAAGAUACGGUCUCCAGUACUGUGUACAAUAUUCCAAGUUAGGUCUCACCAGUGUUCUGUAUAAUGGCAUGAGCACUUCUUCCUCUUUCUACUGCUAAUACCUCUCCCUAUACAACCAAGUAUUCUGCUAGCAUUUCCUGCUGCUCUAUUACAUUGUCUGCCUACCUUUAAGUCAUCAGAAAUAAUCACCCCUAAAUCCCUUUCCUCAGAUGUUGAGGUUAGGACUCUAUCAAAUAUUCUGUACUCUGCCCUUGGGUUUUUACGUCCAAGAUGCAUUAUCUUGCACUUAUCCACAUUAAAUGUCAGUUGCCACAAUUCUGACCAUUUUUCUAGUUUACCUAAAUCAUUUGUCAUUUGGCUUAUCCCUCCUGGAACAUCAACCCUGUUACAUAUCUUAGUAUCAUCAGCAAAAAGACAUACCUUACCAUCAAGACCUUCUGCAAUAUCACUAAUAAAAAUAUUAAAGAGAAUGGGUCCAAGUACAGAUCCCUGAGGUACCCCACUGGUGACAAGUCCAAGCUUCGAAUAAUAUGUUCCAUUAGCUACAACCCUCUGUUGCCUGUCACUCAGCCACUGCCUUACCCAUUCAACAAUAUUGGUAUCCAAACUUAAAGAUUGCAGUUUAUUGAUAAGCCUUCUAUGUGCAACAGUAUCAAAAGCCUUACUGAAAUCUAGGUAAGCAAUGUCUACUGCCCCACCCUGAUCUAUAAUUUUAGUUACCAAAUCAAUAAGAUUAGUUUGGCAUGAUCUCCCUGAAGUAAACCCAUGCUGUCUCUGAUCUUGAAAUCCAUGUGUUUUUAGAUUGUUUUAAAAUUAGGGGCACAUCUAAAAACUAUAUUAGGAUGUUCGGGUAAAAUUUUAUUAAGAAUUUCAUCUUUUUUAAAAAUAUGCCAGUGCAUAAUUUUUUACAUUUUAUAUUCUAUUUUACUGGUCUAUAUUGGCGCAACCUUUAUCUUUGAUUGUUUUUAUUCUUGUUGUAUUUGAAGGGUCCUUGAGGGAUUCCCUUUAAGGGUUGCAGCCUUAUUGUUAUUUUAGCGCUUACUCUCUUUCUUGAUUUUAUUCUGUUCUAAUUCCGUCUUGGGUCUGCUGCUUUUUUAACUCUUUAGGAUGUCUAUUUUUAAUUUAAAACCAUUAUAUUAUUGAUAUUGCAAAUGUAUUCGAUACAGAGGCUAUUAGCCCUAUUCAAAUAAAUUAUCCUAGUUUAAGUCAAGAAGUAUUGUUUACUAAACUAGAAAAAGCAUUAGGUUUGGAAAUAAAGCUAAAGUGGGAGAUAGCAACCCUAAAAAAAUAUAUUGACGAACAAAUCACUCCCCGUGGUCUAAGACUACUCAAACUACCUACCUCUGAUCAAGAUGAUCUAGAAUUUAUGGAAGAAUGGAAUAAUAAACUUGAACUUUGUACCCUUGGUCUCAUGGAAACUUUAAUAAUAAAAAAAGCAAAAAACUGUCUACUUUUAGAUGUAGAAAUAAAUGACCUUAAAGAAAAACUCCUACCUUUCACUGAGACCAAGGCGUACAAACAAAACUCUAUACUAAUACAAAGUAAAAUUGAAAAAGUUGAAAUAGACACAAAGCAUAUUAAAAUCAAAAAAUAUAUAAGGGACAAAACCGAUUAUUCUAAUAAACAGGUCAGAACUUACCACCUCAAUAAAAGAUACACUUCUCUAAACCACACCACCAACAAAGAUGGCCCAUAUAGACAAAAUAAUUACGAAAGAACCAACAUACAUCAAAUGGCAAAUCACUUCGGAUGGAGGCAAACAGCCGAAACGCGUCAAGUGACUGGACUCUUAUUUUGGGACUUCAAUUUAUUUUUUAUAUCUGUUUUUUUUUUUACUUCAAGAUUUUAUGAAGAAUAAAGUGGUUUUACCCCCUGCUAUUCUGCGUCCUGGAGGUUUUACACAUAAAGAAAUAAGUUCCCAGUGGAGGUCCUGCUGUGUAUUCAAGGCAUUCAGUUUGAGCCAGCUAAUUACAUGGCUCUCUAUGUGAGUGAGAUUGACACCUACUUUUAAUUGAUUGUAUUAGACUAUACUACCCUAUGUCUCUUUUAUUUGGUUUCUUCCAGAUGAAUUGACUGCAGUGUGGAUAGUAUUUUCUUAUUUUGUGUGCUCUCACCAAAUUGUUAUUUGUCAAGGAAAUAUAGGAAUUCAGAUACAUGUCUCUUUAACCAUCAACCUCUACAAUACGAAAACUUUAAACCAAGGAACCCCACCCACUCACCACAAAAGAUACGUACACACAGAGCCCCAACUAAUCAAUACCACGGCCCCCCACAAAAAUCACACAAUCCUAACACUAACCAAUAUCGUCCACCCCAACACAAUCGUAAAAACUCAUAAAGAACCUAUCACACUACCCCCCAAUCACCAACAUAUUCCAACAACAAGCACCUCUCACCCAAACCACAAAGAUCCAGAUACAUCAAUGACCACAGAGAAUAUUCCAAUUCCUUAAAAUCACCCACGAUUCCAAGUCACCAAAAUAGAUACCAACUAUUGUCACUAGACUCAGAAUUCGAUAAUGAAGAUCAUUUUUUAGAAAUUCGAACACACCCCAAUACAACAGUCCAAACACCACACCCCUCACGAUCACAAAAAAGGAUUUUAAGUUUAGAAGAAGAAGAAGUGGGAGACGUGAGCAAAAAAGGCUAGAAAGAUAAUGAACACACAAAACAACACCAACUCCGGCAUUUUUAACCUUUCACUAAAAGUUUUAAGCAUUGCACAAAUAUCGGUUUUAAAUAAAGGUCUGAAAGUUGCCCCAACCAACUCUUUUAAAUCUUACGAAGCUUUCCUAGAUGUAAACAAAUUUGCCCAUAAAGCUACACUAAAGAGAUUUUUUUUUUAUAGACAAACAUGAAGAAACUCCUAUUUUACCCUCCCUUUCAUCCCAAACAGAUAACCAGAUAAUCAACACACAACUGAGAGAGAAAUCUACAUUUUAUCCUGCUCAUUUUAAAUCCACUCCUUUAACCAUGUUUGAAAAACUAAUCACAAAAGAUCUCGAAAAAAUAAAAAAUAAGUAUGAUUCGCACAACCUCACACAUGCAGAAAGGAAUGCACUCAAAGAGCUUCAUGAAGAUACUAGCAUAGUAAUUAAACCAGCAGACAAAGGCGGAGGGUUAGUGAUUCUAUCUAGUACAAUGUACAUAGAGGAGGCACAUAGACAAUUGAACGAUAUAGAUGUAUACACAAAACUUUCAUCAGAUCCAACAACCCAGAUACAAGCCAUUUUAAUUCAAUUCUUAAGCAAAGGUUUAGAUUCAAAAAUCUAAAACAAACAUGAAUUUAAUUUUUUAAACAUAAAGUUUCCUAAAAUACCUGUUAUAUAUUUUCUUCCAAAAAUACACAAAAAUUAAUCCAAACCCCCAGGGAGACCAAUUGUGUCUGGUAUAGGUUCACUCCUCUGUAAUCUUUCCCAAUAUAUAGACACCCUCCUCCAACCCUUUGUUAAGCUAAUGAGAUCCUACCUCCAAGAUUCUAUGGUAUUAUUAAAGUUUUUAAAUAAUUUUAAAUGGAAACCCAAUGUUUUACUUGUUACAUGUGAUGUUCAAUCUCUUUAUACAAUUAUACCCCACAAUAUUGGCUGCCAAGCAAUCAAGGACAUUCUAAUGGGAGAAGGAAAGAUAGCCGAUAAACAAAUAGAUUUUAUCCUUGAAGGCAUUGAUAUCAUUUUAAAAAACAAUUACUUCUGGUUUUUAAAUUCCUUUUAUCUCCAAAAGAGAGGGAUAGCGAUGGGGACUAGGUUUGCCCCCAGCUACGCUAAUUUAUUUAUGGCCCAUUGGGAGUCCGAAGCCAUUUUUGGUGACCAUGCCUGGAGGGCAAACCUAGUCUCCUAUUUUAAAUAUAUUGAUGACCUCUUUUUUUAUUUGGGAUGGUCCAGAAGAUCACCUUAUUUCUUUUAUUAACCAUCUUAAAAACAAUAGAGGUAUAAUUUUAACCCACGAAUACAGUAAGGAACAUAUUAACUUUUUAGACCUCAAUAUUUUUAUCAAAAACUGACAAAUACACACCAAGACCUUUUUUAAGAAAGUUUGUGUUAAUACUGCAAUCGAUAAAUCUAGUUGCCACUACCAACCCUGGCUUGAUAGUGCCCCUAAGAGACAAAUUUUACGACUUAGAAGAAACUGUUCAGAAUUAAAUGAUUUCAACGAACAAGCAGAAUUUAAAAAAUAGUUUAUUGAAAAAAAUAUUCUGAAUUAGUUUUAACAGACACUGUUAACACCAUCCAACAGAAAGACAGAGAUGAACUUUUAACAUAUAAAACAAAAACCACAGAUGAAUCCAUGCCUGUACCUAUUAUUUUUAAUUUUAACAAUAAAAGUGGAAAUAUAAAAAAGAUCAUAAGAAAGCACUGGCAUAUUUUAAAAGAAGGUGAAAUUCUUAAUAAAAUUUUACCCGAACAUCCUAAUAUAGUUUUUAGAGGAGCCCCUAAUUUUAAAACAAUUUUAACAAAGAACUUUACUAGAGAAACUAAAAAGAAACCAUCUUUAUCCCUGUUUCCCCAAAUUAAGGGUUUUUGUAACUGUAAAUCAUGUAUAGUCUGCAAAACCACUGAUUCUACAGUACCAUCAAAAAUAACUACAUUCACUUCUAAUGUGACAAAAAAGGUUUAUAAAGUUAAUGAUUUUAUUAAUUGUAGUAUGAAAAAGGUUAUUUAUCUGCUCGAAUGCCCUUGUGGCCUCCAGUAUGUUGGAAUGACCACAAGGUGCUUACUAACAAGACUAAGUGAACAUCGCAGAAACAUUAAAAAUGGAUAUCUGAACCAUUCGGUAUCCAAACAUUUUAUUCAACACAACAAAGAUCCUAGAAUGUUAAAAUGUAUGGGAAUAAAAAAAAUGUAUUACCCCCUGGAGAGGAGGUGAUAUAAAAAACAUUCUUGGGAAAACUGAAAUGGAAUGGGUGUAUAAGCUUCAGACCCUUAUACCCCAUGGUUUAAAUGCUGACUUUGAUUUAUUUAAUUUCUUCUAAUUUAACUGUACUUUCCUCCAUUUGCUUUAUAUGAUAUCUAUGUUUUACCAUCUAUUGUUAUUAUUUAUGUUUUAUAACAAGUUAUGACUUUAACAAGUCAUUUUAGUUCAACGUUUAAAUUCCACCAUCAUUAUUUUACUAUUUAUCUCCCCUUCCCUUUUUAUAAAGGUGCCUCUUUUUAUCAGGCAUGUUCCUCACUAUAUAAGUGGCCAAACACCAGCACCCUAAUCUAUAUCUCUGCUAAUUUUAUCUCCCUGCCGUCAGCCACGGCUCUCACCGCCUCUUACCCGCCCACCCAUUCAUUCACUGGCCGCACCCGCCCACCCAUUCACUGGCCGCAUCCACCUGUUAGGCGCGCCCCUUUCAACGCCCCCCUUCAUACGUCAGCCGCAGUACCGAGCGUGCCGACGUACACUUUACUCUCCUUGGAUGCGCGCAUGCACCACACAUAACUACAUUUCCCAUACUCCUAUGCGGUGUCACGAAUGUCACGUGACCGCAUAUAAAUACUAAAAUCUAAUUAAUAAAUGCUCGUUUUUAAAAUCUAAUCUCAGCAUUAAGCUAUAUUCAAUGUAUAUGUAUUAGAUUUAAUAUAAAAAAUGUGUUUUAUAAUGUUUUAUUCUUUUUAUUUAUUACUGCAUUUUCAUUGGCUGCCCUUAGUUUUGGCGCCAAUUUUAAACAAUUAUACCCUUAUUUAAACUUACCUUGCCAGGUACCAUGUCUUAUUUCAUAUUGAAGAAGCCCUGUUGGCGUUUGUGGAUAUUUAUACUGUGUAUUUUUUAUUCUAUUAAAGAUUUUUGGUUAUCUUUUAUAUAUUUUUUUAAUUUUUACCUGGCAUUUUAUCAUUCUGGACUCCAAGUAAUCCUGAGGUGGGGAUUAUACCACCAAUGCUGUUGUCAAGGAGCAUUCUGUCUGCUCCACUUUUGUGAGUACCUUUUUAUGUAUUUUAUUUAUAUGGUUUUACCCAGUGAGCACUAUUGGUCGUCUCUCUCUGUUUUUUUUGAGAGUUGAACAUACCUUUGCGAGAAGAGGCCUGCACCAUAUCCCAUAAGCGGGGAUUAUACCGCUGUCCGCUUUGUGUACUAGAGCUAGCUAUAGCUCUAAUACAUGUGAGUGCAUUACAAUCUUCUUUUAUUAUCAGUUGUACCAUAUUGGACAUACUACGCUAUUUGGUUUUUUAUCUGUUUUAUCUUUUCGUAAUACUGGAUCCCCUUGGGGAAGGACAGCGAGAACAUUGUUCCUGCGCAAGCACUUUAAAGACUAUCUGAUCUAAAGAAGAUCUGUUCAGCUAAGACUUUUUUAUACCUUAUUCCCAUCCUAUUACAUUUUAUCUUAAUGGUCUAUAUUGGCGCAACCUUUAUCUUUGUUUGUUUUUAUUCUUGUUGUAUUUGUAGGGUUCUUGAGGGAUUCCCUUUAUGGGUUGCAGUCAUAUUGCUGUUUAAGCAAAUGAACACUUGAUACGAACUGCAGUUGUGUGUGUGUGUGUGUGUGUGUGUGUGUGUGUGUGUGUGUGUGUAUAUAUAUAUAUAUAUAUAUACAGAGAUUAAUGUUGGAGCAUCCAUGUCACACUCACCAGGAUUGAAUUUCUACCUCUAUUUUUCAACAGCUAGUAGCAAGGCGAGUAC